UUUUUUUUUUUUUUUUCUUUUCUUUUUCCAUGGCUGCUUUGGUUUAGGCUUUGCGUUUAUUUGUAAAACCUUUAACUUCAUCUUAAUGAUAUUUACAUAUUUAAAGACAAAAAAAAAAAAAAGUAGUUCUAAGGUUUACAAAAUUAUUGUUAUGGACAUGGGCUCUAUUAGUAGCCCAAACAUUUGUAAACAUCUACUUGUACAAUUUGGUUCAGUUCUUUUUUAAUGUUUAUUCUUCUGUUGGACUUAAUUAAUAGUUUAAGUGUUACUUGGAUAACAUCAACAUCAACAUCAUAGAGGAAAUAUUUUUUUUUUUUUGUCUCUUAUUUCAUAAAAUGCAAAUAUAAAAGCGGAUUACUUGGCACUGGACAUGACCAAAAUCUAACCUUAACCGUAUUUCUAAUUGUAAGUGGACCGUUUUUCAACUGUAACCGUAUAAAACGGUUAAAAAUUAUAACUGCUAACCGUAAAAAUAAAUUAGUCAUGGUUAUAAUUUUUUUUAACCGUAACCGUAUAAAACCAUUAGUUAACCAUAUAAUUAGCCAUACGAUUAACCAUAUAAUUAACCGUGCGGUUAAACCUUUAAUAAAAAUUAUUUCAUUAAAAUAAUGUUUUAAAUGGUUUAAUCACUUUAAUGUGUCAACUAGUAACUCUAAUCCCCUCCAUUACUCAUUUUCAUUAUUCAAAUCAAAAAUAAUUUACUUUAAAUAUUUUUAGGUUCAUAACCAUUAAUUUAUUUAAUUGUAGUUGUGUUUGAUUAAACAAAAAUCAUUUUAACUAAUUUACUAUAAAUAUUUAAAUCAUAUAAUAUAUUUCAUAUCUUAAAUAAACAUGAUUUGAUAUGAUAAGAAAAUAUAAAAUUUUGUUUAUAAUAUCAUCUAUAUCAUAAUCAUCAAAUAACCGUAACCAUAUUUAACCAUAACCGGACAUCGUAACCAAAACUGUUUUAACCGUAUAUAUAAAGAUUAAGAUUAUGGUUAAAAAAAAAAUAUUAUAACCGUAACCGAUAAUUAAUAAACCGUAACCGUGAUAACCGUAACUGUGGUCAUGCCUAUAUGGCACACAAAAUCCAUAUUCUUCCGCAUUAUGUUACGUAUCUAAACAAUUUUCUCGUUAUUGGCUUCUAUCUUAUAGUUUUUCCGAAGAAAAUAGUCCAAAUGUUAUGUUUAUAACUUCCAACAUUAUAGUGUGUUAUACCUAACUAAAUAAUGAAUAUUUAAUAUUAAAAAGUUCUUUUUUUGAUUCUCUACAAAAAAAAAAAAAAAAAAAAUCCAAAAAUUUGAAAUAAAAAAGCUUUGGAUUGUAAACUCAAAGAAUUUAGUUUAUCAAAAUGUAACCGUGUUUUCUUGUUGAUCCACGCCAUCAAUUUUAACAGUUUUUUAGCUGUUAGUUUUUAAAAUAAGAUCUAACGGUUCAACUUAUAAAUGUAUCUCUUUGGCAAUUCCAAGAUCGGUCUGGUCUGGUUUUGGUUUCCAAAACACUGCACGAACCCACCAACCGCGUCUUGUGUUGUGUGCUUCGGACCGACUUAUGAAACCACUUUGAUCCUAAAUGUCUCAAUCAAUGCUCUUUUUUCUUUUUAUUUAUAUUUUCAGAGAAACAAAAAAAAAUGAAACGGUGCGACUUUUAUAUAUAAAAAAAUCUUUAAAUCGCCCCAUCAUCAUCAUCACCAUUAAAGCAUCUUGAUCUCUCUCUCUUUCAUCUAAGAACUCUCUACAAUACAAAACCCAGAAAAACACACAUACAGUAAUUAAUGUCCCUUUCUUCUCCCCCAUGUGAUCUUUAAUUGACUCUUCUUCUUCUUCUUCAUCUUUUGAACUUAAGACUUCCCUUAUCUUUAUAUUAUAACUUUGUUGGAAACAAGAGAGAGAUACUACUUUUGGGGUGUUCUUUUAUCUGCAAACUCUUUCAGGUAACAACACUCUUUUGUCUCUUUCCUUCUCUUCUUGUUUCUGUUUUUUUUAUGUUCUUGAUGAUGAUGGCUUUGUAAUAAUCUUGCUCUUUGAUUGGUCUUUAGUUUUCAUUUUUUGACGAUCUGGGUAUUUAGAUUAGAACCUUACCUUGUACUCUCUUGUGUUUGGUUUGAUGUUUCUAUCAUAAAGUUUUGAUUUUUAUUUGUUUUCUUUAGACUCUUAUGAUACGAUUGAUGUGUUUGUUUUGUGGUGAUUGAAUAUGAAUCUUUUUUGUUUUUUUCAGGUUAAAGAAGUGGAUUGGGUCUGGUCUUUGAGACAUGAUGAUGUUUAAUGAGAUGGGAAUGUAUGGGAACAUGGAUUUUUUCCCUUCCUCAACAUCUAUUGAUGUUUGUCCAUUACCACAAGCUGAACAAGAACCAGUGGUUGAAGAUGUUGACUAUACUGAUGAUGAGAUGGAUGUGGAUGAGCUUGAGAAGAGGAUGUGGAGAGACAAGAUGCGUUUGAAGCGUCUCAAGGAGCAGCAGAGCAAGUGUAGUAAGGAAGGUGUUGAUGGUUCGAAGCAGAGGCAGUCACAAGAGCAAGCUAGGAGGAAGAAAAUGUCUAGAGCACAAGAUGGGAUCUUGAAGUAUAUGUUGAAGAUGAUGGAAGUUUGUAAAGCUCAAGGCUUUGUUUAUGGUAUCAUCCCUGAGAAGGGUAAGCCUGUGACUGGUGCUUCUGAUAAUUUGAGGGAGUGGUGGAAAGAUAAGGUUAGGUUUGAUCGUAAUGGUCCAGCUGCUAUUGCUAAGUACCAAGCAGAGAACAAUAUCUCUGGAGGGAGUAAUGAUUGUAACAGUUUGGUUGGACCAACACCGCAUACUCUUCAGGAGCUUCAGGACACGACUCUUGGAUCGCUUUUAUCUGCGUUGAUGCAACAUUGUGAUCCUCCACAGAGGCGGUUUCCUUUGGAGAAAGGAGUUUCUCCACCUUGGUGGCCUAAUGGUAAAGAAGAUUGGUGGCCUCAGCUCGGUUUGCCAAACGAGCAAGGUCCUCCUCCUUAUAAGAAGCCUCAUGAUUUAAAGAAAGCGUGGAAAGUUGGUGUUUUGACUGCGGUGAUCAAGCAUAUGUCGCCUGAUAUUGCUAAAAUCCGUAAGCUUGUGAGGCAAUCGAAAUGCUUGCAGGAUAAGAUGACGGCGAAAGAGAGUGCUACUUGGCUUGCUAUUAUUAACCAAGAAGAGGUUGUGGCUCGGGAGCUUUAUCCCGAGUCAUGUCCUCCUCUAUCUUCUGCAUUGUCUUUAGGAAGCGGGUCGCUUCUCAUCAAUGAUUGUAGUGAGUAUGAUGUUGAAGGCUUUGAGAAGGAACAACCAAGUUUCGAUGUGGAAGAGCGGAAACCAGAGAUAGUGAUGAUGAAUCCUCCUACAAACUUUGGGAUUGCUAAAAUGCAACAUUUUCCCAUAAAGGAAGAGGUUCCUGCCACCAUGGGAAACUUGGAGUUCUCGAGAAAGAGGAAGCCGAACAACGAUAUGAAUGUUAUGAUAAUGGAAAGACCAGCAGGUUACACUUGUGAGAAUGGCCAGUGUCCUCACAGCAAAAUGAAUAUGGGAUUUCAAGACAGGAGUUCAAGGGACAACCACCAAAUGGUUUGUCCAUACAGAAACAAUCACUUAGCAUAUGGAGCAACCAAGUUUCAUAUGGGUGAAAUGAAGCCUGUAGCUCUUCAGCAACCAGUCCAGGCCAUCGACCUAUCAGGCUUUGGAGUUCCGGAAAAUGGGCAGAAGAUGAUCACCGAGCUUAUGGCCAUGUACGAUAGAAAUGUCCAGAGCAACCAAACUCCUCCUCCUCCAUUGAUUGAAAAUCAAACCAUGACUCUUGAUGCAAAAGCAGCUCAGAAUCAGAACCAGCUGAGUUUCAACAACAGCAAUCAAAUGUUUAUGCAACAAGGAACAAACAGCGGAAUCAACAACCGGUUUCAGAUGGUGUUUGAUUCAACACCGUUCGAUAUGGCUGCAUUCGAUUACAGAGAUGAUUGGCAAACCGGAGCAAUGGAAGGAAUUGGGAAGCAGCAGCAGCAGCAGCAACAACAAGAUGUAUCAAUAUGGUUCUGAAUAUCUCUGUAACAUUCUUUCUUAAUAACUCUGUUACUACUGUUACCUACUUACCUGACUUGGGUUUGUAUUCCUAUUGGCACCAAACACUCAUCUAUAUUGUUGAUGAUGAUGGUGAAGCCAUCUAUAUUUUUUUGUGUGUGUGUGAAAUUCAUAUUAACUCAUCUCAUGUUUUAAUAAUCUCUCUAUCCAUCAAACACAUCUCUAUAAUGCAACGGUUCUAUGUAAGUUUUAAGUCCAAAGAACCAAUAUAGCAAUCAAGAAACAAUCUAAAUUUUUCUCACUUUUUUUGGUAAAAGAAUAAUUUUAUGACAUUUCCACAUAAACUAUUUUAUCAUGCAAGAGUGACCAAAUGAACAAUACAACUCUGUCACUUUUGUUGGUUGUUCUCUAGUCAACUCAAUUCAACAUAUCAUCAUAAUAAGCAAAAACACAUGGCUUAGCCAUAUUGUUAGGGUUUAUAAAACUUAUAAUAUAAGUCAUCCUUUUUUUUUAUAUUCUUUCAUGUAUAAUUUGUUUGGUCAAACAUAUAUUAAAAUAGUGUAUAGUUACAGGUUGCCUUAAAGCAUCAGGCUGUUGUGGCCUCUUCUUCACCACAGGCAAAUUCUAAUGUUAACUGUUUUUGAUCCAACAUUUGUAAUCCAAAAUUGGAUAGUUUAUAUAAAUAAUCAAUAAUAAGGUGAAGAAAAGCCAAAAUGGUGGAUUGUUUUUGGGAGGAAGAGAAGACAAACGUUGUUGUCUGCUUUAGUUUGGAUUUAGAAGACAGGCCAUGUGAUAUGCCUUGUGGAAACCCCACCACUCUUUUAGUCUCUUCAUAGCCAAAGCUGACUACAUGCAUCCACUCAUUUUUGUUUGUUUAUUACUAUUAUUGUACUUUAUCUUAUGUUAUGUAACAUUAUGAAAUAUGAUAUUGUUAUUAAAAAAAACAAAAAUAAUUACCAUUUUUCAACAUACAGUUUACUGUUGUGAUUCUGUGAUUGCAAUUUCAAUAAAAAAAAAUUUAGAGCAUUUUUGAAAAUUUUUAAAAUAAAUUUCGAUACCAUUUUUGUAUAAAUGUUAUCGAAAUUUUUAUUUUUGGCAUUUUCAAAAUUGUAAUAGUUCUAAAACGUUGAGGAUUUAAUUGUUAAGUUUGUUUGAAUAAAGCGGUUGAAAAUUGUUUUUUGGUAGUUCUCGAAUAGGUGACUAAAUAUAUAUUUUCAAACUAUUACAUAUAUUCUAAUGUUGGCCAUUUUUAACAACUAAUUCGUUUAAUUAUUGAUGAUAACAACAAGAUAUUGGCCAUAUUUUGGUUGCUGCUUUAGAGUCUUUCUACAGCCAUAUUUUGUCCAAAGCUACAAAUUCACAGCAAUCAAACUUUAUAAAUUUUGUAUUUCCUUUUUUGAUUCACACCCAAAAUAUUUCCUUAAUUAUUUUUGUUUGGUGUACAAAGCCAUUUUUUCUAAAGCAUAUAUUUUUCAGCUUUCCAAAAAUUAAUUCCUACCGCCAAAAUACUACGGCAAAAAAAUCUACAGCCACAACCAAAAAUUCCACAACUCUAAAUCUAUAGAUAAAAAUCUAAAGCUACAAUAACAACCAAUCAAGGCCAUUGUUAGAGAUUAUAAAAAAGACGAUUAAGUUAAAAACCGGUUAAAAAUAUUUUUGAUUAGUAAAGUGAUUGAAUGAUUAAAUAAAUCAAAAAGUUUCAAAUGUAAAUGAUCAAUUUCAUUUUCUACUUUAAUUUCAUUUAAAAUUUUUGUAAAGAAAUAAGAUGAAUAAAUAUAUUUGUUUGUAAAAGCAAUUUUUUUUUGUGAAGCCAUUUAGUGAAGCCCUGUAAAAACAACUAGUGAUGGACCCGCACGUACGUGCGGGUUAUUUUUACAAAAUUAUGAUUUUUCAAGUAGAUGGUAUUUUGGUAAAAUUUUGUUAUAUGAGUUUAUUUGAUAAACUAUAUAUAAACAUACAGUUGUAAAAUAUAGAUAUUGUAUUACAUAAUACUAUUUUAAAAUUAUUUAAAUGAAAAUGAUAAGUGAUAUUACGUGUUUAUUUUUUAAACUAAUCAAAAUAUUUCUAACUGUUUGCUUAGAGAUGUUAAAUCAGAUUUGUGUUUGGCUUUAGUUUGAAUUGUUUUAUGUGUAGUUUAUAAUGGAAAACCCGUCAUAUCCCUUUCCGUCUCGUCCUGACCCAUCCCGUCCCACCCCGCCCCGUCCUGUCUUCUAUCUGUCAUAAAAUUUAUGUCCCAUAAUCGUUUCUUUUUAAGACAUAAUCAUUUGGCAAUGUUUAUUAUAAGAAACUUGGUAAAAGAUUUAGACGGGAUACCCAUAUUCCUCGUUUAAAUAUUUAUUUUUAUCGAACUAAUAAAAAUCUAAUUAUCAAUCUAAGUCACAUGCUCCCAUCAUUUCCAUUCACAAGGCACUGUCUGUAAUUCUAGCAUACACAAUCCUUGUUCGAUUUUUAAUUUUAUUGAUCUUUCAGUUUCAUCUUUAUUUCUCAUUACUUUCUUCAAUUCAAAGAUUCAUGUUUUAGCCUUUUUGUUUUCUAAAGAUUCAAAUAUUUCUAUUUUUUUAAUACAUGGAUUUAUUGUAGUUUUGUUAUCCGAAGUAUACGUUAUCUUCUUGUACCCGUCAUUUCAUGUCUAAAUUUUUGAAAUAAAUAGUAAAUUGGAAAUUAAAUUUAGCAUUUUCAAUUACAUGUUCCUGUAUCGUACUCGUAGUUUUAUAUUUGAAAGUUGAAAGUGAAUUUAACUUUAUAACCGUGUCUCAUAACACUUAUAUCUAAUCAAGUUUUGUUUUUUUUUAUGAGAAAUAAUUCAUAUAAUGUUUGUUUUCUAAUUAUAUGUUACCGUCUCGUAUCCAUUCCUAUAAGUUUAUAUUUAUUUUUUAAUAAAUAACAUCAUUUACAUGUAACUAAAUAUAAUUUUAAUAUAUGUAAAAUUUCAUAUAAUCGUCCAAAAGUAGAGAUCUAUACAUCCCAAAGUUGAAUUUUGUUCAAUAUUUUCAGAUUUUGAGAAUUAAAUAUAACUACCAAUUUUUUUAUUUCAACCGGUUAUCCAAAACUUAUAUAUCAUAUUUGUCAAGGAUAGUUUAAAAUUGUAAGUAUAUGUGAGAUAAUGUUUGUAGAUAUUUAUAUAUUAUAUCAUUUAUAUCAUACCAAUUUGAAAAUUUUAUUUGUUUUCAAUUAGAUUAAAUCAUAAAAAUAUAAUCCAUUUAUUAUUUAAAAAUUAGUAAUAAGUCGUUAAAAUCAUUUAAAUGUGAUAUAUCCACUUGUUAUUUAGUUUUAAUCUUAAUAGAAAUUCUAUAUGUUUAUAAUCUCAAAAUGUAGUUUAUGAUUUGAUAAAAUAAUUAUUUAAUAUUUGAUAAUUGUAAUGAUAUGCAAAUUGCCAUGGAUGAAGAUUUAUUUUGUUAAGAUUGUGUGAAAUUAAUAAGAAAAAAGAAGUUUAGAAUAAUCAUUAAUUAACUGUUUGACCAAAUAAAAAAUCAUUAACUAAUUGAAUUAAUGAUAAAUUUUGUAGAUAUCUUUUGUGCUAUAAUUGCUAGAUUGCUUUUAUGAAUAUUUUUUAUGUGAAAAUAAGAAAUUUAUGUGAUGUACAAUGUUUAUUCGCAUGAUUUUAGCAAAUAAAUAUUUAAUUAUUGAUUUAUUUAAAUUUGAUGAUAUGAUCAGUUAUGUAUAUAUACUAUGUAGAAUUUGAUUAGUUGAUUAUUUCAUAUGCUAACAUAUUUUUUAUCAUUUUAUUUUUAUAAGAAAAUGUUAUUUUUGUUUUUUAGAUAUAUGAUGAUUUUGUUUUAUUAGAUUUCAUUCUAUAUAAAUUAUUAAUUUCGAAAUUAUAUUAAAAUAUUAAAUUAAUAUUAAAUAUUUUUAUGUAUAUUCAAAAUAGAUAUGUUUACAUAUAUUUAAUUUUGAAUUUAAUUGUCCACUUUUUAUGAUAAAAGAUUAUUAUGAUUUCCAUAAAUAUAGAUAGUUUUUGUUUUUGUUCUUUUUUGUUUUGUUUUUUUUUUUUUGCUGUCAUUAAUUCUAUUUGGCAACUGGAAUAUAUUUCAUGACAUUUUUUUUUAAAUUGGAGGUGUUUGGUUUCAAGUUGUACUUCCCAAUUAAUUGUAUAAAUUGUAUUUUAACGAAAAUAAUCAGAGCUUGAUAGUACGAGAUACUUUUAAAGACCUGAACUCCUAAUUGAGCGUUUUUUAGGUGUUUAUGAAAAUCUUGAAUAGUCAUUUUUCACCUCCCGUUGGAAUUAAGACAAUACUUUUAGUCAUCCAUAAGGUAUGCUCGAUUAUGUCUAAUAUAUACGAAAAUUCUGAUUUGAAAUAUAUAUAUUCGACUAAAAAACUAUAAUUUAUAGAUUAUAGAUAAUAGAUUAAUACUUCUACUACGUCCAAAUAUCUUACACGAGAUCUACAACAAUGCACAAAACCAAAUAUUCUUUUUAGUAUGGUUGUAGAAUAUAUUCCUAUAAACUUUUGAGGCGUAAUGCAUGGACCUAAUUGUUUGAACUUUGAAGAUACAACAAACCUUUAUGGUGCACAAUUUAUUUCUUUGUUUUUUUUUAAUUUGUGACUCAAUUUAGUUUAGUACAAUUUCAGAUUCAUAAAAACAUUCUAAGCUAAACAAAGAUAACAACUCAGAAAACUUCAUUUGCAUGUUACUACGACUCUUCACCGUUCUCAGUUUCCUCUUCGUCAUUAUCUUCAGGAGUUUCAUCAGUUGUAGGCAAAGGAGGUAGCAAAUCCUUCACAAGCUCUAAUAUCCCAUCAGUGUCGAUUUUUCGUUCUUUUUCCCCUUUCUUGGGUGUCUCUAUGAUCUACAAGAUAGUCACAACAAGUGAGUUGAUAUGUUAUAUAUGUUAUACAUACAACAAACUGUUAAAUGCAGCAAUAUAUAUGUUCAUGGCAUUUGGUAGUGAAGACAGAGAAAAAAAAACAAGAAGAAACACAAACCGGUGCCAACUCGACAGCAGAAGAAGGCCGGAGAUUGAUGAUGUUGAGAAUCUCAGCUUUUGCGACUUUGAAAUCUUUGCACUUGUCUGCAAAUUUGUUAACGCUCUCUCGUGUUUGAGUGGAAGCAGCAGUCUCCACUAAGUAAUCAUAGACCUAAUAAAAAGAUGGUUUGAAUUAGCUUAAAAGCCCUUCAAAGGUUUAAGUAAGGAUCAGAGAAAAGAAACCUUGUAUUCUGAUAUAGCAAUUGGAGCUAUAACUCUAGUUGUAUCCUUUGAUGCACCUCUUGAAUUUAGGAAGUCAAGCACCUCGAAAUUGGUAAGUGCUCCUGCAUUUGCCUUAACUCUGCAACACCCACACAAAUAUUUCGAUUACAAACAGAAAAGGAAGGAAUCAAGCAACAAUAAUAGAACUAAAGAUGGAGAGUACAUAGAUUGAGAGAGAAUGAGACUUUGUUGAACAUACAUUUUCAUCUAUGCGGAUUGAGCAGCGCGCCGUUUACAGGCCAGACACUUAAACUUGAAUUCGUUUGCAACAAAACAAAGACUGCGUCGACGCCAAGAGAGUUUGCUCCUGAAAAAUCAAACCAAAGUCAGGUAUUCAAAAAUCAUGAAUAUGCUUCGAUCGAUUCCAACAAAACCUUAAAUAAUCUACAAUUCUCUAUUCGCAUAUUAUCCAAGAAGCUGUAGAUGAUGGUCUGAGAGCAAGAUUGUAAGAACAAAGCAUCAAAAACUCACAGACUUAUAUGCUUUUCAUUCAUUCAUGAAUCAAUCUACUCAAACAAUAUAGUUUUGCUUUAUCGUAAACAAAAGCACAGCCUAGAAAUAUUAGAGAACUGAAACUGAAAUGAGAGCUUCUAAAUUCAGCACUUCAUGUUUAAGAACAUCAUUCAUGAAUGAAUCUCACAACCAAUAUAGUUUCAUCCUAAACAUGCAAAAACUGGAAUACUAGAGAUUAGAAUCUGAAACAAGAACUCCAAAACAUCACUCAUAAAUCAGGACACAUGAUGAGCCAAAAGUGAAUCAAACAAGACUGGUUUUGAAACCUAAAAGGGGACACAAAAAUCCUCGAAUGAAACAGUAGCUUAAGAGUUAAACAGAUCAUCCAAAACAGACUCAUGAACAAGUAUCUUAGACGAAUGCAAAAGUAACCUAGACGUUCUGCUUUCAAUAAGUAAUGUUCAAUAAGCAAAGUUUGAAGUAAAUAAGUAAUCCAGUAUAUGCCUAAUUAAGAACACCAAGUACUCAACACUCUAUAAGAGCUGAGCAAAUAGAUAAGGUCUGAGAAAAUAAACAAACAAAGAGCUGGGCAAAUAAAGAGAUCCAACCUCAGCCUCAGUUGAUCCCUACAGGCCAAAUCCCUUCUGUGGCAAUCAAGAACCUGCAACAACAACCACAACUACAUUCAAGACUUGAAAACAUGGAAAGCACACAGCUUUAUGCUCUUCGACAAUCCAAUAUUUCCAGUGUGGUAUGAUCUUUGAUCUCUUAUUAGCUAGCAAAUUAUAUGUUUCUUUGUUCUGCUACACCAUAUUAUGCAUAACUAGCCAUCAAGAACUAACCUGACUAUUAAAAAACAGACUCGUCAUUGACCCAUUUGUAUAAAAACAAACAUCACUCAUGAAUCUCAGGACACAUGUUUGCAAAAGUAACCAAGACGUUCUGCUUAUAACAAGGCUCACCAGUUCUUAAUCAAGAGCAUACAUCAGUAAGACGUAUAAAACUAACAACAAGAAAAGGGUUUUAAAAGAACUAACCAGAGGAGAAAAGGGUUGCCUCAGAUCUCCGCAAAGAUUGCAAAUUUGUGAGCCUCAGAGAGACAGAGUAAAGAAAGUUCAAAGAAUCUAUUGAACCAUUAUUAUGUUCACAUACCCAAUUCUCAAUUCUAAGAGUAGAGAGUAAAUGUUCAAUCUUCACGCUCCAUUCAACUAAACAUUGAUUUCAACAAUCAAAUCUAACAAACACCCAUGACCAAUUCAUACCUUCAGAUUACGAAACUGAAAUCAAAAUAUCAAAUUUGCAAAGCAAAGGAAAAUAUACAGGUUCGUUGAAGGACCUCUGUUGAAGCAGAAAUCGAUGAAUUUUGUGUUUUGACUUCAGAAUCGAAUACAGCGGCGGACGAAGCAGCGCUCACUUCAUCGAUGUCGGAAUCGAGGGUUUAGGUUUUAACAAGCUAAGACAACGAAGAAUUCACUGAGAUUCGAUGUCGGAAUCGAUGGGAAGAAGAAAGAAGAAGACUUCGGGUUUACUGUUUUGAUGAAGGUGAAAGAAACGCUGUCGUUUACUUGAUAGGACUUGACUCUUGAGAGAAAAGGUGUAACUAAGUUUUAGUUUGAAAAACACCUUUUUCUAUUUUAAAUAAAAAAUUACAUUUUUAUCUUUUAAUAUAUAUAAAAAAUAAUGUUGUCUUCAUUUAAAUUAAAAGAUUUAGUUUACUAAAUCAAAACUAUAUUUAAAAUUUAUAGGAGAAAAUAUUUUAAAUUCGGAAAUAAAUAUAAUUAUCAUUAAUUUUUUCCUUUUAAUAUAAAGAUAUUUUCUUAUUUUGUAUUAAUUUUCUAUAAAUAUUAUAAACUUAUAGUUGAAUAUUUAUCAUGCUUAUGUAAAACCAAAAUUUCCAAAGCUCAUGAUAUAUUAUUAUUAAAAACUACCCAAAAUUUUCCAAAACUUAGUACUUUGAACCAAAAUUGUAAGAUAAAUGCAUAAUUUUUUUGUUUUCUUUGGGAUUUUUAUACAUAUAUGUGAGUCAAUCAUAAAAAACUGUUUUUUUUCUAUGCCAGUAUUCUCUUUUUAUAUUUAACAAAUAUUUAUGAUAAAAUUUUCUUUAUAUUUGUUAGUUAUAUAAUAAUUUAAUGAAACUAAAUUAUUGAUCUAUAAUUAAAAUUGAUUUUUAUUGUAUAAUAUAAUCUUGUGGGAAUUUCAAAAAAUACCCCUUUUCAUAAACCUCUUUUUAAAAAUACCCCAUUUUCAAACUUUAUCAAAAACCCCACUAAAAAUGUUGAAAUUUAUCCAAAUAUGUGUGUAAGCUUAUAAAUAUAUACACAAAUUACAUUUAUAUGUGUAUAAAACUUUAUAUACCUUUCAUAAAUAGCGUAAAAAUAAAUUAUAAAAACCUUAUAAAAACCUUAUAAAAACCGUAUAAACCCUUUUAAAAACAUUUUAAAAACCUUAUAAAACUUAUAAAAACGAUUUAAAACUAUUUAAAACAUUGUAAAAUAUUUGUAUUGAAUCUCCCAGUAGUAGUUAUUAUAUAGAAGUACCUUAUAAACUAUAUAAAACUUUAUAAAUUUUUAUAUUUAAAAAGGGGUAUUUUUGAAAAUGGAUAGAAAAAUGGGGUAUUUUUAGAAAGGGGUACACCAAAAAGGGUAUUUCUCAAAAAUUCUCUAUAAUCUUCUGUUAAAAUUUAUUAACUUUUAGUUAGAUAAAUUAAGUUAUUUUAUAUAUUAGAAGUUAUUUUUCUUAAAAGAAACUAAAAACGAUUUAAAAAAAAUAAUAUUUAAAACAUGACAUUUUUCCAAAUUUACUAUAAAAAACCCAACAGGUACUCAUAGUCUUCUAUGUCAUUUAGGUAAGCAAAUAAAAGUGUAUCUUUUAAAAUCAGAAACUGAAGGUAACUAUAUGAAGGGUUUCUAGCACAUGCAUUCUCUGGUGCUGCCUCUUCUCUGUUCUAUAUGAAUAUGUUUUUAACACUUGCACAUUACAUACUCCAAUAUUUGCACAUUACAUCCUUCAGUUGUGCCUACAACUAUAAUUUAGAACACUUUUGUCUACGACAUUAGUUAUUUUAGAAACAGUUAGAGAUUUUUUUUUUUCUAUCAUAUACUUUUAGUUAAAUGAAUGUAAGCUAACUUCUGACUAUAUUAAACAAAAUUUAGUUAAAGAAAAUUGGAUUGCAAAAUUUUGGUUAAAAAUUGGUAGAAAAUACAGUUUAGGUGACUAAUUACCUUCUAAAAAAGUUUUUUUAAUACUAAUUUUAAUACAAUUUUAUUUACUUUUUUAUAUGAAAAUAUUCAUUCUGGUAAACAUUUUUAUGUUAUUAUUGUGAACAUUUUUGGUUUACAUAAGAAAAAUAUAAUUUUAUCGCUUAUGGCCACGAGUGAUCUUGGAAAGGCUUUGGGCCUUCCAUUAUGUAGACAACUAUGAGACAGUUUUACUGCUGUAUAUGAUGACUUUAGCUAGUGUUUAUAUCUUAGAUAGACUUGGGAUAGAAGACUUGGUGAAUAUAUAGAUAAAGUAGUGAUUACUUAUCUUUGUAAGAGAAUUAUUUAUUUAUUAAUAGUAAUUCUUUGUUAUGAAAUACUAAAGAACUUAACCAUAUAUGGAUUAAUUAGAAUUUAAAUUUUAAUAUGUGGUAACCCACUAAGCAAGGUCUAUUAGUAAUGAUCACAAGUUUAUAUCACUUGUGCUUGGUGUUACUUGUAUUCCAGUUUAUCAAAUCUAUUAGAAAAAGGAACGAACAUGAGAAUAUGAUUUGCACUUUUUUGUCUAAUUUUUGAUUAGAAAUUCAAACCUUUACCAUAGAUUGUUUGUGUUUUUUUUUCUCUAUCCAAGGAUUCAAAUUUUGUAUGUGAAAGUAAACAAAAACUUAAGUGUUUUGGAAGUUCUCUCUCUUCUAACCGAGACUAUAUUUAAAUUUGAUUAUAUUUCAUUUUUAAUUUUAAUCAGAAAAACAUUUAGAGCAACAAUUUGAUUUUUUUCCAUCAAAUCCCACUAUUAUCAAAUGACUUUUAGGAUAAUGAUCUUUUCUAUGACAUGCAAAAAUUUGUGCUUACUAUCAUCCUAGUCUGAUUUUCAUUUACAAAGGCUGUCAAUAUUUUAGGUAUAGAUCACAAAACUUGUUUCUACAUUCCUUAUGCUUUAAAAAUAUUUUUAUCUAAUACCAUUUCUUAUUAUUUUUUUUUAUAUAUAAUACCAUUUGGUUUCUUCGCAUUCAAACCCAAAUAAUAGCAUAUGUUUAUUAGAGUUAAGCCAUUUGUUAGAAGUAGCAUAUGUUUACAUUGAUGACAAUAAAUAUUUUUUGUUUUGUUUUUAGAGGACAAGUCAAUCUAAUCGUAUACCUCUCAUUGACCUCCUACUACAUGACCGAGACCUCCUUGAACUCUUACACCUCCUCGCCGAACCAAAUUUGACAUGGCAUCUAACUAAACAUUGUGGUUUAGUCUCUUACUCUUUCUCUUUAACUUGGUUGCUUCUAUUUGUUUAAAUAUGCUAUCAUAUCAAUUGUCAAAUGAUGAUGAUAGUAACUAUUAAGCAUGUUUAUGUUCUCAAAUAGCACAUGUCAAUAAUUAGCAUUUAACCAUCUAGUACGUGAAGUUUCUAAUACUUUAAUCACUUAUGAAAAAAAUUUGAACAAAUGUCAAGACUAAGUUAAGAGAAAUAUCCUAAACUACCGUUAAACUAUGUUUUUGUUCGAAAAGUAUCACCACUCAGUUUAAUAUUUAAUUGGAUUAAAAUUAUUAAAUUAUACAUAUAAUAAUUGAAGGAGCUCUCCAAAGUCCAAAGUGUGAACGUCACUAUGUCAAAUUUCAUAUUUAAAAAAAAAUUAACACGACUGAAUCAUGUAUUAGCUAUCCAUUUUAUAUAAAUAAUAUAUGACUUUAAUGUUUUAUGUAUAAAUCAAAUAAUUAACAUUUACUAGAUUUAAUUGUAUAGAAUUAUGAAUAUAAGUUAAAUCAAUUGAGUUUAAAUUUUAGUUAAACUCAAUAUAUAUAUAUAUAUAGUUAUAAAAGAGGGGAUUUCAAAAAUAUCGCUUAUUAAAUACCACUUUUUAAAAAUACCUCAUUUUCAAACUUUACCAAAAAAGCCACUAAAGAUAUUGAAAUUUAUUCAAAUACGUAGGUCAGCUUAUAAAUAUACACACAAAUUACCAUUAUAUGUGUAUAAAGUUUUAUAUAUCUUUCAUAAAUACCGUACAAAUAUAUAAUAAAAACUUUAAAACCUUUUUAAAAUCUUAUAAACUCUUUUCAAAAUCUUUUAAAAACUUUGUAAAAACAAUAUAAAGCCUUUUAAAACGUUAUAAAUUAUUGAGACCGAAUCUUCCAGUAAUAGUUAUUAUCUAGAUGUACCUUAUAAACUAUAUUAUAAGACUUUAUCAUUUUCAUAUAAAACAUGGAUAUUUUUGAAAAUGGAUAGAUAAAAGGGGUACACCAAAGUAACCAAUGGAAGGUGGAAAAAACUACCAGGUCAAAGAGAAAUCCACAACCCCGCCCUCAACCCCGUUGGGAUAAAAUGCAAUUAUGACUUCAUAUGGGAAAGAGAGUUUCAACAUGUUUCUAAUGACUGAAUACUGCACAUCUACCGCUGGAAAGCGAGGAAUAUGUAAGAUCACUAGACUGCAACUAGGAGGAGGAGGGGAUGAAAGAGGUACAUCAAAAUAAUAGAUAAAAUAGUUUCUAAUUGAUUAUGCAUUCAAAAGAACUAUCAUUUCAAAUAUACUUGAUUGCUAAAAAAGAUAUGUUGACUUUUUUUUAAAUUACAUAUGUUAAUUUAGUAAGUUUAAGAAGUUCAUAAAAUUAAAUAUUAAAUCAAUUAACUCAAGUCACAAUGUUGUUAAUAAUACUUAUUUUGAUAAAUUAAAAUGACAAAAAUUACUAUUAACCAAAGUUUUCUGCUUUAAUGUUCUCUCUCAUUUCUCAUCUCUCAUCUCCUAUGGCUCAUCUCUCAUCUCUCUCUUCUUCUCUCCUAUUUCUUUCUUGAACAUCAAAUAAAUCUUUCUAAAUUUUCUGAUUUGAAAAAACUUAUGAGUAUUAUUUAUCAUCGUAUCAACAUUUGGUUAACUCUAUUUCUAAAAUCUUUCAAUUAGUUAGUGGACACAAAUGUUAGAUUCAAGGAAGAUUUAAUGAUUGAACUCUUGGAAAAAAUAUUGAUGAUCUAGCUAGGUACCCGUUGAUGGACGAGAUCUAGAAAACAUAAAAUACUGUCUAUCAUUUAAACUGAUUUUUUGUGUUGAUGGAUAAUUUAAAACAUCAGAAAUGCCGAAAGUACAAUAAGAGCUCAAACAAACAUGACAAAAUAAAAAGGGAAAAUGCAAUAAGUUUUUCGCAAACACAAUAUGAUAAUAGAAAUUUAGAAACAAGUCAACUAAUAUAUAUAUAUAUAUAUUUAUAUGUUUCUUACCCUGAGUCUAAAUUCUGAAGUACUGCAACAUGGGACUAUAAUUAGUCAGCUACGAAAUCCACUUAGAAAGGAAUAUGUCGCUCUCCACUGACGAAUUCAACACAUUGAUUGAUAACUAAAUACACCAACGUAACGAAAGUGACCGCUCCAAACCACCAUACCAUGAAAACCAUGUAUUUAUGUUUAGAGAAACUGGCACUCAUAUCACCAAGGUAACAAACUCAAUGAUCAUAUUAAUUUCAUCAUAAAUUUACCUAAGGAUGCACCAAAAUUUGGUUGCCCUAGGAAACGCAUAGUAAAUAAAGAUUUUAAAUUUAUAAGAUUUACCAUGUACUGUAUAUUUUUUAGGAUAAAUGCCAUUUUACCUUAAACAUUUUCUAAACUGCCAUAGGGUCCACUUUCAUAAAUUAAAAUGACAAAAACUACCUUUAACUAAAGUUUUCAACUUUUAUGUUCUCUCUUCGUCUCUUAUGGCUCUUCGCUCAUCUAUCUCUUCUUCUCUCCUAUUUCUUUCUUAAACAUCAAAUGAAUCUUUCUUAUUUUUUUAUUUGAAAAAACUUAUGAGUAUUAUUUAUCAUCUUAUCAACAUUUGACUAACUCUAUUUCUCAGAUCUUCCAAUUAGUUAGCGGACACAAAUGUUAGAUACGAGGAGGAUUUAAUGAUUGAACUUUUGGAAAAUAAUGUUGAUGAUCUAGCUAGGUACCAGCUGAUGAACGAGAUUUAGAAAACAUAAAAUUGUCUAUCAGUUAAACUAGUUUUCCGUGUUGAUGAACAAUUUAAAACAUCAGAAAUGACGAAAGUACGAUAAGUGCUCAAACUAACAUGAUAAAAUAAUAAGGGAAAAUACAAUAAGUUGUUCGAAAACACAAUCUGAUAGUAGGAAAUUAGAGACUGUUCAACUAAUAUAGAAAUUUCUUAUCCGGAGUCUAAAUUCUGAAAUACUGCAAUACGGGACUAUAAUUAGUCAGCUACGAAAUUCACUUAGAAAGGAAAUGUCGCUCUCUACCGACGAAGUCAACACCUUGAUUGAAAAAUAAAUACAUCAACCUAACGAAAGUGACCGCUCCAAACCACCAUACCAUGGAAACCAUGUAAUUAUGUUUGAAGAAAAUGUCACUCAUUAUCACCAAGGUAACAAACCCAAUGAUCAUAUUAAUUUCAUCAUAAAUUUACCUAAGGAUGCACCAAAAUUUGGUUUCCCUAGGAAACGCAUAGUAAAUAAAGAAGAGAAAUUUAUAAGAUUUGUCAUAUCUUAUGUACAAUAUCUUGUUAUGGUAAAUGUCAUUUUCACUUAAUCAUUUUUUAAACUGCCAUAGGGUCCACUUUGAUAAAUUAAAAUGACAAAAAUUACCAUUAACCAAAGUUUUCAGCAUUAAUGUUCUCUCUCAACUCUCAUCUCUUAUCUCUCAUGGCUCAUCUCUCAUCUCUCUCUUAUUCUCUCCUAUUUCUUUCUUAAUCAUCAAAUAAAUCUUUCUAAAUUUUCUGAUUUGAAAAAACUUAUGAUUAUUAUUUAUCAUCGUAUCAACAUUUGGCUAACUCUAUUUCUCAGAUCUUCUAAUAAGUUAGUGGACACAAAUGUUAGAUUCAAGGAGGAUUUAAUGAUUGAACUCUUGGAAAAAAUAUUGAUGAUAUAGCUAGGUACCAAUUGAUGGACGAGAUCUAGAAAACAUAAAAAAUUAUCUAUCAUUUAAACUGGUUUUUCGUGUUGAUGUAAAAUUUUAACAAUACCAUAAUAACAUAUAUUUCUUAACAUUUAUCUGCGGGUGUUUUCUUAGAAGUUGUGUGAUACAUCCUGGAUAGACUAGCUUUGGUGGAUUAUAUCCAGUAGACGACACAUGUUUAAUUUUUACCAAUUAAUCUUGUCUAUCAAGUUGUCUUUUAACUAAUUUGUAUCUUUGUUUCUUGGUGGACGACUUGUUGUUUUAAGUAGUCAUUCAGUAGAUAACAUCGACGUAGACAACAACAAUGGUUUAUCCUUUCAUACUACCAUUUCCUAAAAUUCUAUUUUACUUGUCCUCCAUUAAUAUAUUUUAAAUCUAUUUUCACUUUGUUUUAUUAUUUAAUUAUCCAAUUAAUCAUAUAUCCUUUGGAUAUUAGCCUACCUCUUUCCCAUUUAAUGCUCUUUGAUUGCCACAAAAAAUAUCACAUCCCUUACUUUCCACAAAAUAAAUCGAGGGCAUUAUCAUCGUUUACUCCACUGCCACAACUGUUGAAAUUGGCAUUCUUGUAAAGGUUUUAAGGAAAGUGGUAGAGACAAAAGUUUGAGUAUUAAAACUGGCAUAAUUGGCAAAAAUCCCAUCUAUACUAUUAAAAUGGGAGCAUUUUUUAAAAGUGUGUCCAAACAGAUUAAAUAGAAAAAAUGAAAUAAAAUGUAAUCCUAAACCUAUAGCCAAACAAAAUUAAUGACAGAUUUUCAAAUGAAAAAAUAUGCUUUAAAAUAAAUAAAAAAUCAAACUAAUAACUAACCAAUAUUCAUGGAAAUCAUAAUAAAUUUGUUACCAUAAAAUGUGGCCUAUUAAAUUCGAAUUUAUUUUAAGAUUAUAUAAUGCUUUAAACGUUUAUUUUACCUAAUUUAAACAAAUACAAUUCAAAACAUUUUAAUUAAAAAAAAUUCGAAACUUUUAAAAUAAACUGAUAUGUAUAGUAUUUUAAAUUGUGUAUAUGUAAACAGAUUAAAUUAGGUAAAUAAACAUUUAAAAUAAAUUAGGUCCAAGGAAAGAUUAUAAUACUAUAAAUAUCUAAAUUCUAUAUAAGUUUAGGUAUUAUUAAUAUUUACGCCUUUAAAAGGUUUUAAAAUAUUAUAAAUAUUUAAACUACAUGUAAAGUUGAAAAUAUUAGAAAUAUUUAAACUCAAUUAAAAUUUUUAAGUUUAGCAUUAUUAAAUUAUAUAUUAAAAUUUUCAAAUAUCUUGAUGACAGCAAAAUAUAUUUUCAAUUGAAAUAAGUAUGCUUUAAAAUAUAAAAAAAAAAUCAAAACUAAUAACUAACUCAGAUUCAUGGAAAUCAUAAUAAAUCUGUUACCAUAAAAUGAGGCCUAUUAAAUUAGAAAUUGUGUAUUUGUAAACAUAUUUUAUCGUUUGGAUGUGAAAUCAAUCAAAGGAAACAUAUUUUAAACAUAUUAUAUUUUCAAAGGAAACAUAUUUUAAAUAUUACCCAAUUCACCUAAAAUCGAAUGAAUUGAUAUACAAAUUUUAAAGUUUGGAUGCUUAUUAAGUGAAACUUUCUGCGCACUCAGAUUUAAAUCCAUUAUGAUCAUAUGUAUAAUAUGAUUUUGAAUCAUUAUCUAAUAUUUUAGCGGAUUUGAGAUGUUGAACACAUACUUUUUAUAUUAGUUGAGUGAUAUAUAUCCAAUUUUUUAAAUUCGAAUCACAAAAUAUGUAGAACAACAAAAUUAGAUUUUAUUAAUUUUAUGUGUUAUAUGAUGAUUCAAAAAAAUGAAAAAAUCAAAUCAAAAAUAUGAUAGGGGAACUAUAAUUUUAAAUCUUCUAAAUAUUGAUGUAUUUCCAUUUCUAUUAUUUUCCAUUUAUUUUUAAAGAUAUUGUAUUAAAUGCAGUGGCAUUUUUGUAAAUAGUUUGAAAAUUUAGGAUUUAUUACAAAAACUGCUUUAAAAUGUUAAUAUAGAUAAUGGAUAUAUCAAAUAAAUGUAUAUCUAAAAAUAUAACUCUGCAGGUACGUAAGAGUGUGAAACAUUACGAACAUUACCUUGCCAAUAUCUAAACGGGAAACAGUGAAUAUGAAAUGGGAACGGAAAAAUAUUUCCAAACUAUUCCUAAUAAGAUGUAUGAGAGAUAAAUUUUGUAUAACAAUCUAUAUAGUUUUAAUCUAUAUUCGAAUCUCAGAACUUCAUUUGAAUAUGCGCUAACUUUUGAACGGUAAAUAUCUACUUUAGAUGAUAAUUUUAAAGUUUAAGAGAGUUUGAGAAUAUCGAAACGUAAGAUAUGAGUAUUAUGUCUAAAUUAGAAAAUUUAGCAAAAUGUAUGCUACCUACGAAUUUUUGCAAAUUCAAACGUGACGAAUGUAAACGUUGCUCAUGUGGCUUUCACGGGAUAGACUUUUUACUGGUAAAAACAUCAAAUACGUCCACCUUGACAAUUUAGGUAAUUCGGUUUGGCAAGUUUGAUAUUUUGACAUUUAUCCGAUUUCAUAGUUUAAUAGCUUGCUAAAAAUAUAAUUGAUUACAUUAGUUUAAUAUCUGGGUCUGUCUUCGUAUCAAUCCAAAUAUUAUGAUGAAACCAUUAUUAUUACAAAUAUUCCGAAAUUUGAUGAAACCAAAUCGUUAUAAAUAUGAGUUAUAAAGAUUAUAUCAAAUAAUUAUAUUCACAAAUAUAUCCCCGCACGUAUGUGCGGGUCUAAAUCUAGUAUGUAUAUAUAUAUAUAUAUACAUUAGACAAGUAGUAAAAACUCAAUAGAGAAAUAAUACUACCUAAUAUACUUCAUAGUUGUAUCAAAAGUAAUAAUAUCUAAUAUACUUCAUAGUUAUAUCAAAAAACUGAACUUAGAUUUCACAUCCCCAUAUGGAUCAACCGGCAAUAAUUAUUUACUAAGCAUACUUCGUAAUAGGUUUAAGCAAAGCAUUAUCAUCCUCCAUAAAUUCUCGCUUUGCAGUCUUCUUUUGUACACUGUUCAAUAUAACAAUCUUAAUGGAUGUAGCUCAUGGAUAUCUUUUGAACAAACUUUCAUUAUUAUUUUCAGAUAAUUUACCAAAUGCAUUGCAAUAUACACGAGAUGCGUGUGUGAAUCAUAUUUGAAUAAUGAUUUGACCCAGAAAAGAGUAUCCCGGGAAGCCUUUCAAGAAGCUCUGAAUCUAGUGGGACAGUCGACGACCUCUCCACGUGACCAAUUUGAGAUUGUCCCAUUGAUUCCUAUAAAUAUCCGAAACUUCUAUUUCUCAUUCACAAAUUCAUCUUUGUUCAUGCUGCUAACUCUGAGUUUUUUUUUUUUCUAUUUAUGAUUCAUUUUGUUACUAAAAAGGGAGGGGAAACUUAGUCCCAAAUGCUUGGCAAUUCUUGGUAGAGUUUCUUUAUGAUUUCGUGUUGAACCUGGUAAAGGAUCAAAUAGGUGGUCUUUCGGGAAUGUGAAAUAAAUGUUUUUUCCUUGCAUUUUGGUCACUUUUCUUUUUUUUUUUGUUAUUUAAUAAUCUUCAAGGUAUGAAACAAUUCGAACUUCGAUUCAAUUCGACAUCAUAGUUUAACCAAGUGGUUCAAAUAUUUGCAUCACUCUAUUAUCUUUAUACGUCCAUGUAUGAGAUAUUUCUAGUCAUACAUGACAUGUCCAUGUAUGAGAUAUUUGUAGUCAUACAUGACAUAUAACUAUUGUUACCAAGGGAACCAUCACUAACAUAAAGUCUACACAUCCACUAGUUCAUGAGGAACAAAUCUGCUGUAAACUAUUAGAUUGCAACUGUCUAGACUGCUAAAAAUUGAACUUAUAAAACUAAACCAUUUGCUACAAAUUACACAACCUCCUAAGGAAACUACACUUUAUAACAUACCUGAUUAAUACCAUCACCAUUUAAUAUGUGUGGAUCACUUUAGUUGGUGAAACAAAUAUCACCUGUGGUCACUGGUCACCAAUGUGCAUUACCUCUUUCUUCCUUGGUCAACUCUAAAAGCUCCAAUUACAGUUUCAGCCAUGGAAGCAUCUUCAAUUAUAGCAGUUCCCAUAAAAAAAGUUUACUCCUAAAGGUAAACUUAUAAAAAUUGAAAAAUCAACAUAGAAGUGCGAAUAAAAUGAGUGCUGCUAAAAACUUAAAGAGCCUUACCUACUUUUUCUGUCCUCAUCUAUCUCCUCCAUUGAUUACGCUUCUUGAUUGAAGCACCCCCACAGAGGCAAAGAACAAAAAAGCAUACAUUCUCCAGAUUCCUUCUCUCUUCUUCUUCCUCGCACGAACAUCUCUUCUGGGUCUCUCUUUGUUUCUUCUCUUCUUCCCCAAUUCAAACUCUUUUAAGUUACUACCCAUGGUGGUGGGUUUAAAGUUCGUUCCUUUACUCAAUUUUGAAGCUCUGUGUCUGUUUUAUCAAAGCUGAUGAGGAAUUGAGAAUGUGGGUUUUGGUUACUCUUUGAUUGGUUGUUUAGAGAACUGGGUUUUGGGGUUUGUAUUGUUGGUCUGAGUUGAGCUGCUUCGUUUUUGAAGUCAUGCAGAUAAUAUGUUCGAUGAUAUUACUGCUAGUGAUGACAAUAAGCGUUUCAGGUUUUUCUGACUUUGAAGCUCUUUUGGAGCUCAAGAAAGGUUUUCAGAGUGACCCUUCUGGUAAAGUUCUUGCUUCAUGGGAUGCUAAGGCUUUGUCCUCUGAUGGGUGUCCGUUGAACUGGUACGGCGUUACUUGUAGUAGCGGAGAUGUUACUUCCAUUGAUUUGAAUGGUUUAGGUCUGCUUGGGAAUUUCAGUUUCCCUGUCAUUGUUGGUCUCAGAAUGCUUCAAAACUUGUCGAUUUCGGAUAAUCAGUUUGCUGGAACUCUCUCUAACAUUGGUUCUUUCAAGUCUCUUAAGUAUUUGGAUGUUUCUGGUAACUUGUUCCGUGGCUCAUUACCUUCUGGGAUUGAGAAUUUGAGGAACCUUGAGUUUGUGAAUCUCUCUGGUAACAACAACUUGGGAGGAGUGAUUCCGCCUGGUUUUGGGAGUCUUGAGAAGUUGGAGUACCUUGAUUUGCAAGGCAAUAGUUUCUCUGGGGAAGUGAUGAGUCUGUUUUCUCAGCUGAAUGGUGUGGAGUAUGUAGAUAUAAGCAGGAACAACUUCUCGGGUUCGCUUGAUCUGGGUCUCGCAAAGUCAAGCUUUGUUUCGUCGAUUCGUUAUUUGAACGUAAGUGGGAAUUCUUUGGUAGGGGAGCUAUUUGCUCAUGAUGGUAUACCGUUUUUCGAUAGCUUAGAGGUGUUUGAUGCUAGCAGUAAUCAAUUGUCUGGUUCUGUUCCUGUCUUCAGUUUUGUUGUCUCUCUCAAGAUUCUUCGGCUACAAGAUAAUCAGUUGUUGGGUUCUUUACCACCAGGCCUUCUACAAGAGAGUUCAACCGUCUUAACUGAGCUAGAUCUUAGCCUCAAUCAACUUGAAGGUACAAUCUCUAUGAAUAUUCAUACCCUUUUGGUUAUCAUUUUCAAGACUUUCUUUGCAAAUCAUCUUUUGUAUAUGUUUACAUUAAGCUAACUGGGGAUAUUUGUUGCAGGUCCUGUCGGAAGUAUAACCUCUUCAACACUAGAGAAACUCAAUUUGUCUUCAAAUAGACUAUCAGGAUCCUUACCCCUAAAAGUAGGGCAUUGUGCCAUUAUUGAUCUGAGUAACAAUAAGAUUUCAGGAAACUUGUCAAGGAUACAGAAUUGGGGGGAUUCUGUAGAAAUUAUUCGCUUGAGUUCAAACUCACUCACUGGAACACUACCUGGUCAAACUUCUCAAUUCUUGAGGCUGACUUCACUCGAGGUUGCUAACAAUUUGUUGCGGGGUGUACUACCAUUUAUUUUAGGAACGUAUCCUGAACUGAAAGAGAUUGAUCUCAGUCACAACCAGCUUAGCGGUUUUCUACCGAGUAAUCUGUUCGUAUCUGCAAAGUUGAUGGAUCUCAACCUGUCGUACAAUAAUUUCUCUGGUUCACUUCCUCUUCAGGAUGCAAGUACUGCGGGAAACCUGAGCUUGACUAAUAUUGGUCUAUCACAUAAUUCCUUAGGUGGAGUUCUCUCAGAGGAACUAACUCGUUUCCGCAAUUUGGUUUCUCUUGACCUUUCUUAUAACAAUUUUGAAGGGGAGAUCCCUAAUGGCCUCCCAGACAGCCUACAGGUAUUCAUUGUCUCUGCCAAUAAUCUCUCUGGAAAUGUGCCAGAGAAUCUUGGACGGUUUCCAGAUUCAGCGUUUCAUCCAGGGAAUGCCUUACUGAAUGUCCCCAUUUCUUCAGAAACACCAAAAGAUAAAGCAAAUAUAACCUUACGGAAGCAUGGGUAUCAUAUGAAGUCUUCGGUAAAGGCAGCCCUGAUAAUAGGUUUGGCCGUGGGUGCUGCUCUACUUGCUCUUGUUUGUGCAAUGGUUCAUUUUAUGUUGAGAAAGCAACAUGAUGAAGAGAAAUCGGAUGUGACUGGAGAAAAGAGCAUUAUUCCAAAAAAUGAACCUUCUACUUCCAUUGUGAUUGCAGAAAAGAACAGUGUACAUGAAAAUGAAUGUUCGUCUUCUACUACUUCUACGCCCUCAAUCAAGGCCAAGCUACCGGUUUCUUCACGUUUCUCCCAAUAUACUGACUCUGAGAAUUCUUCAUCAUUUCUAAAAGAACAUACCGAGGAGCUUCACCCUGAAUCAACACAAAAAGAUGAAAGCUUGUCAUCCAAAGUUUCCCUGGUGUCCUCAGCAACUUCAUCGCUAUCAAAUAUUCAGAAUUCACCAAAUCCUAGGUCUCAACAAACUUCUGUUAAACUGGAUGGGAACCUGUAUAUUUUCGACAGUUCUCUUAAGCUUACAGCAGAAGAACUGUCUUGUGCUCCGGCUGAAGCUAUCGGAAGGAGCUGCCAUGGAACUCUGUACAGAGCAGUACUCAAUUCUGGUUAUGUAUUAGCAGUCAAAUGGUUAAGAGAAGGGACUGCCAAAGGUAAAAAGGAAUUUGCAAGGGAGAUAAAGAAACUUGGGAACAUCAAGCACCCAAAUCUCGUUUCUCUUCAGGCUUAUUACUGGGGACCGAAAGAACACGAGAAACUCAUCAUAUCAAGAUACAUGGAUGCACCCUGUUUAGCUUUCUAUCUCCAAGGUAAAUACUUGCAUAUCAGUUUGUAGUAAAACUUUGAUUGGUUUUUCACUUAAAAACAUGAAUUCUCCAACAUGAGACUAUACAUGGCAAAGAUGAUUCACUCAUUCUCUGUUGUCUGCAGAGGCUGGACUGCUAAACCUCCCACCAUUGUUGCUGGAAAACCGUCUUAAAGUUACUCUUGACAUAGCCAGUUGUCUAAGUUACCUGCACAACGAGGAAGCAAUUCCACACGGGAAUCUAAAAUCAACCAAUGUUCUCCUGAAACCUCCUGAACUCACUGCCUACCUAACAGAUUACAGUCUUCACCGGUUAAUCACACCAGAAGCCACAUCAGAGCAAGUCUUGAACGCAACCGCUCUCGGCUACUGCCCUCCAGAGUUUGCCAGCUUGAGUAAACCAUACCCUUCUCUGAAAAGCGAUGUGUAUUCCUUUGGGGUCAUUUUGUUAGAGCUUCUAACAGGAAAAGUGUCAGGAGAUAUAGUUUGCAGUGAUCCAGGGGUUGUUGAACUCACGGAAUGGGUUCUACUGCUUGUGGGACAAAACCGUGCGGCUCAGUGUUUUGAUCCGUCCAUUAUUGAGUCGCAGAGUUCAAGGAGUGCCUCUGGAGUUCUUACUGAUGUCUUACAGGUUGCUCUGAGCUGUAUCUCACCGGCACCAGAGAGGCCGGACAUGAAGUUGGUCUAUCAGGAGCUCUCAAGAAUUGUUCUCAAGAGGACAAACUAAAGAGCUUUCUUUGUGAAUGUCGCUGUAAAAAUGCCUUCUUGGAUUCAUUUUGUUCCAUGAAUCCCUUUUAGUAUAAAAUGAAACUGUAAAUCUAAAUACAAUUGUCCAACUAGUUUGGAGACAAUAGGAUUAACGUAUAUAUCAUUGUUGUAACUUGUAAGUCUUAAGUAAAGAUACUCAUUUGACUUAGCGUAGAUACAGCAAAAUCUAGAAGGCUUAAACUCACUCAACAUGCAGUGAAGACAAGACAUGUUAACAAAACAAAACAUAUAUUAACUACGGACAAAGCAAAUCAAGAUCAGCUUUAAAGUCUCGGACAGCAAGCAAACCAUAUUUCCUACAACACGCAAACAUAAUUGAACCACCAAAGACUCGUCUAAGCUUUAACAGAUCCAAGAAUCAUGUUUGGAUUCUAUAAAGUUAUCUUCUUAACACCUUAUAGAUCUUAUGAAGAGAGGGUUUCAAAACAGAAACUAUGAACUAAGAAGAAAGUCAUGUAGGAGCUAGACUGGAGAGGGCAUAGUAGAUAAGAUCUAGAGAAAGGGUUAUAAGGCUACACUCUCCAAGAAACCCAACAAAACCACCUUCCUCUGCUCUAUCUUGUUUAGUCAGACAGAGACAUUAGAUCAGAAGUGAUCAUUGUUUGUAAAACAGAAGUGAUUCUGAGAAGGUGGAAGCAAUUUUGCAACACUAUAGCUGUUGCUUCACACAUUAAUGGACCAAGAUCAUCAAGACACUUAAGUUCUUUGAUUGUGCAAAAAGAUUCAAUCUUUAGUAUUAAAAUGUCUGAAACAAGACCUGACAACAAAACAGAGCUAUGAACCUCUUACCCUAUCAUGCGUAACCUCUUAAUACUAAAGAUUGAACCAAACUAUUAAUUCAUACAACACAACCAAGGCUUGUCUAAGAUCUAAAGAUUAUGUUCUGAUCCUAUAAAACCCUAAUACAAAGAGCAUAUCAACCAACGCUAAUACGACGAUCGAUUUGGGAAAAAUCAAAGUUGUUUGAUUAUGCAAAUAGAUUCGAUCUUUAGUAUAGAAUGUCUAAACACAAGACCUGACAACAAAACAGAGCUAUGGAUUGAGCCGAUCAUGCGUAACCUAUUAUCAAGUGUGUCUAUGCCUUAAGAGAUCUAACGAUCAUGUUCUGAUCCUAUGAAAAACAUCUUUUAAAAAACCCUAAUACAAAGAGCCAAUGUAUCAGAUUCCUAUUUAUUAACGAUCGAUUUCAGAACCCAUAUCAAAAAAAAAACCAAAGCUUUACGAAAGACUUACCGUAGAGGAGAAGCAACGUUGAGAUUUGACGGGGGAUUAACUCCAGAACCACCACCACCAGGUAAACUCUGUUUCUGGUACUACUCUCUCUCUCUCGUGUUCUGUAUUCACAAUCAAAGAAAAGUUAUGGCUUUUGAAGUAAGUGUGUAUCAUUGUUUCCUUUGUAUCGAACUUGAACUUGACGAUCAUGCAUAACUUACCUUAUGCUUGUAAAACAACACGAGAGCCAGAACAAAGCUUGUCUAGGCCUUAAGAGAUCUGAAGAUCAUGUUCUGAUCCUAUAAAAACAUCUUUCAAAGAACCCUAAAACGAAGAGCCUAAAACUAUUUGACGGCGAAACACCACCACUAGGAAACUCUGUUUCUGCCACUAUCUCUCUCUCUCUCUCGUUAUUUAUUCACAACACAACCAAAGCUUGUCUAAGAUCUAAAGUUCAUGUUCUGAUCCUAUAAAAAUCAUCUAUUAAAGAACCCUAAUACAAAGAUCAUGUUCUAAUUAUUGGCGAACGAUUUCAGAACCCAUGAAGCAAAAUCAAAGACUUACCGUAGAGGAGAAGCAACGUUGAGAUUUGACAGCGGACGUAACUCCAUAACCACCGGAAGACUCUGUUUCUGCUUCUGCUAUCAUCUCUCUCGUUCUUUAUCACCGGAAGACUCUGUUUCUGGUACGAUCUCUCUCUAUCUCUCUCUCUCUUUCGUUCUUUAUUCAAUAAUGAAACUCGUCAUGUUUUGAUCCUAAAAAAACGAAGAGCCCUAAAAUGAAGAGCAAUUCAAUAAAGAUUCCUAAUUAUUAACGAUCGAUUUGGGAACCCAUAAAUAAAAAUCAAAGCUUUACGAAAGACUUACCUUACAGGAGAAAAGAAACGGUGAAUUUUGACGGCGAACCACCACCACCUGAAGUCUCUGUUUCUAGUACGAUCUCUCUAUCUCUCUCUCUCUCUCAAGAAAAGUUAUGAUUUUUGAAGUAAGCGUUGUUUCCUCUGUGACGAAUGUGAAAUUGGGGAAGAAUGAAGAAUGAUUUUGAAGUUUCUGUAUUUAUCAGAUUGCUUUCUAACUGUUGUGUGAUAACGGCUCUAUCACGCAACCCAUUUUUUAACUUCUCUAAUUAAUUUAAUCUUUAUUUACUAACUAAUAAUAUAUAUAUAUAUAUAUAUAUAUAUAUUUUUAACACCAAUAUUUUUUCUAUUAACAAUAGGUUAUCAUGAAAAAUUAUUAUUAUUAUUUUAUUGUGUUUAUGUGUUAAAUUAUUGUGAUAAUAAAUUCAUAUAUUUAAAAAUAUAUAUAAAUUUUACCCACACUUUGAGUACUUUUCCAAAAAACUUAAUUUGUUAAAUGUUUAUAUAAUUUUUAGGGGGAAUUUUAAAAAUACCCCUUUUCCAAUACCACUUUUUAAAAAUACCCCUCUUUCUAAUUUUAUCAAAAAGUCACAACAAAAAUUGAAAUUUAACAAAAAAAUAUGUAUAAGCUUAUAUUUAUAGACACAAAUUAUCUCUACAUGUGUGUAAAUUUAUAUAUAGAUAUAUUUCAUAAGAACCUUAUAAAUACCUUUUAAAAAUCAUAUAAAAACUUAUAAAAACUGUGUAAACCUUUUAAAAACCUUAUAAAAUCUUAAAAUAAUGAAAGUUUUUCAUAAGAAACAUUUUAUCAAACUAACUAAAAUGAAGUCUUCAAUAUCUUAGUGAAACAUAAAUAAAUUAAAACUUGGUAAUUAUCUUAAAUUUGAAGAAAUGCAUAAAAUUAUAAUAUUUCAAUGUUAGAGAAACACAAUUGUUAUUCGUAAAUAUAUAUAACUAUCUAAAAAAAAUGAAAUAAAAUGACCAUAGUAUAAACAAGUAUAUUUUUCCGAUAAUAGUCAUAGUUCAGUUAAAUGGUUGCAAUAACUUCUGAUAAAGAAAAAAUAAUAACUAAAAUUUGAAAAAUAUGAAAUUAGAACUGUAAUUUUUAUCUCCAAUGAAUUUUAAUAGGCUUACAAAAAUUUCAUAGGGAAUUAGAAUUUUUCCUAAUGUGCAUAAUUGAAUUAAAUAUAAAUAGACUAGAACUGGAUCAUUAAAAUGUACUCAAAGAUAUCACGAUUUUACUCGUAAAAUAUAUUUUUUAAUACCAUUCAACUAGUAACCGGAAAUUGGAACACAUAAGCAAAAUUGCCAGUAGUAGGCCUAGGGUUUGGGUUUGGGUAAGGUAUUUCGGAUUUUCGGGUCUUCGGGUUUAGAGAUAUAGUACCCGUUCAAAUAUUUCUAGAUUUCGGGUUUGGGUUCGGAUUACCAGAAAUUCUCAAAAUUCAUAAUUUGAAUAUCCAAAUAUGUCCAAACUACUAAAAAGUUUCAACACCUAUAUAAUUUUUGACCUAAAUUUAUUUUUUAAAAAGGUUUUUUAACUUUAAAACAAUCCAAAAAUACAAAAACUGUAUCAUUUUGAUAUUAGAUUAUUACAAAUAUAUAUAUAUAUAUAUUAUAAUAUAUAUAUAUAUAUAAUUAUUAAUAAUAAAUUAUGAUUAUUAUAUAUUUAUAUUAUGGUUGUAUUCGGAUAUCCGUUCGCGUUUCGGUUCAAUUCGGGUUCGGGUACGGAUUUUCGGGUUUAGAGAUAUAGAACCCGUUCGGAUAUUUCUAGAUUUCGGCUUCGAGUUCGAAUCGGAUUUUCGGAUCCGGGUUGCCCAGGCCUAGCCAAUAGUGUUGUAAUCUAGUGGGAAGCAUUGUGCUCCAAAUUCAACCCUUUGAAGAUAUAGUAUUUCUAAGAAAACAAAAUCAAAACUAAUUAAUCAUUUGUAAGGGAUAAGCUCUGUUACCAAAUUGUUUAGCCCCAAAUCCACAGGCCCAUUGAUACAGUUAUCCCAUAGAACCUCUUUAAUCAUACAAUGUAAACCUUUUUUGGAUUGAAGUAUUUAUUUAUUAAUGUUCUACGAAUUGGUCAACUCAAAUGCACUUACCAACCUGCUUAAAUGGUAAGCAUGAACUCUCAUUAUUUUAUAAUUUUUUUGGUAACACAAUCAAAUAUAUUAAUUGAAAAAUUCAUGCAUUCAUAUUUAUUGAAUACAGUAUUAGAAACGAAAGGGUCAAGUCCGGCAUUAUUCGUCUCUUCUCCUUUCAUUUUUUUCUCUGCGAGAGACCUCAGCAUCAUUGUGACUUGUGAGAGGGAAGACAAAUCUUCACAACUCAUUUAUUUUCAAGGUAUGUGCAAUAUCUUCUACUCAUAUGAUGAUAAAUGUUGAAAAAUUAUUUUUGUUUUGUCCACAUUAUCAAAAUUCAUGUGUUAUAUGAAAGAUCAUAUAACUCAUAAGAAUUGAAAAUUAGGAUAAGUUAUAAUGAUCGAUUCGUGCUUAUUCAUCGACGAUCAUACAAAAUCGCGUGUGAUGUUCUUCAAAAUUUAACCCCAAAAAGUAGUUUUUUUUUACUCAAUAUGAGAAACUUAUUUAUGAGAAAGUUUGUUGUAUAAGAUUGAUUAACCAUUGUACGUAUAUAGGUAGAUAACAUUCUAUAUUUAUUGUUUCUUUUAGUUGGUUUGGUGCCAUUUUAUUUUACACACAAUUAGGUUGAACCACUGUUAUUAUUUUUAUUUUUUUCGAAGCAAUGGUAAAUCAGAAACCAAAGAAGUAUUGACCAUUUCUAUUACACAAAAUCAGGUUGAACUUUGAUUAAAUGAUAAUCAUAAAAUCUUCGAAAAUUGAUUGGUAUCAUUUGAAUUUAUUGUAUACAUAUCUUCAAAAUAUAUCAGUAUCAUAGGUUUUUGGAAGCAUAUAACUUUUUUGCUGUUUAAUAAUUUUAAGAGUUCAACUUAUAAAUAUAUCAAAAAUAUUGUAUUACUAUUUUUUUAAUAAAUAAGAUAGAAUAUUUUUUGCUUAGUUAAUUGAAGUAUAAAUUAAAUAAUUUAAAUUAUAAACUAUAUAAAUAAAAGAUGUUGCUGUGUAUAUUGCCGCCUAACGUGCACUCCACAAUAUGGCAGUCUUGAAUUAUUAAAAAGUAAUGAUGUAUUUGUGUGGAUGUGCAUAUAUGAAUCUUGUGGUUUAAAAAAAUAUUUUGUAUCUGGAUUUGCAUAAUUCUCCUGACAAUACAUACAUUAGUAUGAAAUGUGUUUAUCUUAAGGUAUUAGUUGAUUAAUACGACUACAAUUACUACCAGAAUCAUAAUUAAAGUGUAUACAAUAUUUUGGUCUAUAAAGGUUCUUAACCUAACAUUUAAAACUUUAGGAAGUUAAAAAAAAAUUGUAUGAUUUAACUAUAAUUUUAAACAUAUAUAUAUAUAUAUAUAUAACGGUAUUACUGAAUAUUUUUUUAAAUAGAUGAAUUUAUAUGUCCCUUGUGUUUUACUUAGACAAGUUUAACUAAAGUAUAGAACUAAAUCCAAAAAAUAAAUUUAGACUUCAAUACGAUUAACAUAUAAUUUUGGAGAUCAAUAUACAUAGUAUAUGGGAUAUCAAAUUUUCAUUUUCAAAGUUGAAUUUCUUAGGAAAACACAUUUCAUUUAAUAUAAGGCCAUUCAUUCAGAUAAUUAUAAUUUUUUAUUGAAUUUUUGAUUGGUAUUAUAAAAAAUUGAUAUACUUAUUUGGUUUUAUUUUAAAUGAUGUUUAAGGUUGUUACACACAAAUUAAGAAAACAUAUAAUUUUUCUCUUUUCCAUAAAAAUUCUAUUAAAUACAAUAAAUUUAACCAACGAAAAAUAUGGUGUAUAAUAUGAUUGGUAAAAAUUAAUUAAAUACAUUAAACUAGAUUCUAACCCGCGGUACACCGCGAGACGAUAUUCCUAAAAUGUAUUUUUUUUAUUAAUUUUGUUUGGUAUAUAAGAGUGUACAACUAUAUUUGAUUGUUAAUUCUAUGAUUUAAUCCGUAUAAUAUUAUAUGAUAAUUUAUUUUUUAUAUAAUCGUAAUUUGAUCAAAUUAAUUAAAUAAGUAUAAUAUUUAAAAUAAUAAAAUGAUAUUGACAUAAUAUUCUUUUACAUAGUAUAAUUUCAUAUUAAAAUAUUUUGUGAGUUAUACUAUAGUAGACCACCCGUAAAAAACUAUAAUCAUAAUUAUCUAAAUUAUAACUUGUUCCAUCACAUGAUCCGUGCUACACAAUUAUCAAUAAUACUUUAGUACAUUUAUUUUUGUUCGUUUGAGUAAUAUACAUCCGUAUCUAAAAAUUAAAAUUGCAACAUAUGCCAAAAAAUAUAUAUAUAUAUUUUUAUUAUACAUAUGUUUAUGUAAUAAUAUAAAUUUAAAAACAAAUAAGAUCAUAUAAAAAUGUUGGAGAAAUAUUUGAUUUGUUAGGGAGAGAUUUUAGGAAAUUUAUUAAAUUUAAUAAAUAUUGAUUUCUAGUUUUGCAAUUUUAUUAUGAUUUAAUUAUAAAAUUUAUCUUAAACUUUUUCUAUUUAAUCAAAUGGCAAGGGGUUAAUUAUGAAAAUAUCACAAAAUAAAAGGGUAGAACACUAAAGGUACUUCAAAAAUGUUAAUAUAGAUAUUUGCAUAGAAAGUUGAAAACAUCAUUUAGAACAAAACAACUUUUUAAAACUAAAACAUCACUUAAAAUGAAACAGAGUGAGUAUAUAUUACCUUUACUACAUUUUAUCUAUAUUUUGAUAUUUUUGUGUUAUCAUUGUAAAUUUCAACACAAUAAGAAUUAUUGGCCAUAUGGUGUAAUUAGUGUUGUAAAAUAAAUAUAUGAUAUUUAUAGAAAACUUGACUUAUUAAUAGUUGAUAAAAUUAGAAACUCAGACUGAACAAAUAUCCCAUAUACUAAUGUACCAAAACAAUUUGGUAGUUCGAGUAAAUGCAAAAUAAUUUACUCAUUUAUACUGUACAUAUACGAUAAAUAAAUAAAUGAUACACAAAAAUUAACAAAAAUAAAUAUAAAAAAAAAGUUAACAAAAAUUAUUAGGAAAUAGGACAUAUAACAUAUAACCAACUAAUUAUUAUCUGAAUUUUUUUUUUGGUGAACUGACGGGAGUUAGUGCCCUCCCUAUGUUUUAUUAAAAUUAAAAAUAAAAUUAUACAUAAACGUUUCUUGGCUGAGGUGGACCAACAAUAUCCUCAUUUAAAAUCGACGCCACAUUCGGCGGAAUACAAUUCAAAUAGUAAAAACCUAAAGGCAAAGAAAACGCAUAGUUAACUAACCCGUCCGCAAGACGGUUAGCUUCCCUAUACACAUGCGAGAUACGGACAAUCCAGUCCCUAAUAAAAAAGCCAUGGCACAAGCGCACCAGAAAAGACAGCGGAUGAGUAUCACAAAUCCCUGCUUUGAUAUUAAAUGCAUGUUGUUGAAAGAAAAUGUUUCAUAAAUGAUUUGGUAGUUUUGGUCAAUUUUUUUUUUGGUUAAAUCAUUUGAAUAAGUACUCUCUUACACCACUUGUGUUGGACUCUCGCGGUUACACAACACAAACCGCGUUUGCUUCUCUAGAACCUAAAAUCAACACAAAAAACAUGAUUCAAGAGUAGAUCUACAAAAUUUGAACCAUAGAAAUGCAAGAACAAGUGUAGAUCUAAGAUUUAAUCAGUUUAUUUUUUUGAAUUUACUCUAACGGACUAAUUAAUUUAUUGUUUUCCAUAUAAACUACUAAAUUUUUCAACCUUAUAUUAACCAUAAUUAAGUCAAAUACAAUAAUUGAGAUGACUAAUGUUCCAGUAUUUUUUCACUGCAAUUUUUAUCUUAGGUUAAUUAAUUACCCAGAGAGUUUUAAAAUAAUAAAACUAUUUGAUUUUCUCAUGUUUUAGAAAAUUAUUAUAGAUUUUGCUAUGAUAUUUUAUGGUUAUCAAAAAUCGUAAAAGAUGAUUUAACAUAUUCUUCUAAUUUAUACUUUCAUUUUUUCAUAUUUCAUAAGAUGUUUUAAAAACCUUAUAAAAUAUUAUAAUAAUCUUAAUAAUCACAUUAAAUUAAAAAAAAUAGAUUUAGCCUGCAAAACCAUAUAAAAUUCUAUAUUUUAUUCCAUAUUAGUAUGGCCAAGUUACAUAAUAUUUUCUUCUUUCAUAUAAAAACAUUAUAAAAACAAAAAUAAAACAUUAUAAACCCCUCAUUUUUGUAAUUUUAUAUAAUAACUCCUCAUUUUUAUAAUUUGAUACAAUAACUUCAUUAACUCCUGAUACAAAAAAAAAAUCACUAAUUCAUUAAAUUUAUUACAUAUACUUGUUCUUGUCUUUUUUAGACAAAUUCAACACUAAUCACGUCUUGAUUUACUGCCAAAUUUAUUUAAUAAUAUUAAAUAAACAUUAAUAAAAAUAUUAAUAACCAGUAGAUUUUCAUUUUGCCGCGUGCAAUCUUUUUUUUCUCAAUAACGCGUUAUCGUCACCUUUUAUAUUAAUUUUUCAAAGCAUUCAUAAUUAUUUUUCACUUUAAUUCACAUUUAAACACUUCUCUUCUCUGUAUACAUAUUUAUUCCUCUUCUCUGUUUCUCAAUCUCUCUCAAAUUUUUCAAAUCUUUUUUUUUUUUCUCAGUCACUCUCUCAUCAAAUCAAAAUGGCUGAAAGAGUCUACCCCGCCGAUUCACCACCGGAAAGCGGACAAUUCUCCGGCAACUUCAGCUCCGGAGAGUUUCCAAGAAAACCAGCACCACCACCAUCAACAUACGUAAUCCAAGUCCCUAAAGAUCAAAUCUACCGUAUCCCACCACCGGAAAACGCACACCGCCUCCAAUACCUCUCCCGUAAAAAACCGAACCGCAGCAGAUGCAGAUGCUGCAUCUGCUCGUUCAUCGCCCUCGUCUUCGCCUUGAUUGUCCUCGCAGGACUCUCAUUAGCCGUACUUUACCUAAUCUACCGUCCCGAAGCACCUAAAUACUAUGUAGAAGGGUUUGCCGUCUCUGGGAUCAACUUAAACUCCACUUCCCCGAUUUCGCCCCGGUUUAACGUUACCGUUAGAUCGCGUAACGGUAACGGGAAAAUCGGGGUUUACUAUUACGGGAAAGGGAGUUCCGUCGACGUUUAUUACAAAGAUGUUGAUUUAUGUAACGGUGUUUUGCCGGAGUUUUAUCAGGCGGAGAAGAAUGUAACGGUGGUUAAGUUGGGGUUAAGUGGGAGUAAGAUACAGUUGACUAGUGGUAUGAGGAAAGAGAUGCGUAAAGAGGUGAGUAACAAAACGUUGCCGUUUAGGUUGAAGAUUAAAGCUCCUGUUAAGAUUAAGGUUGGUUCUGUUAAGACUUGGACUAUGAUCGUUAAAGUUAACUGUGAUUUAACGGUUGAUAAGUUAACGGCUCCGUCGAGGAUUGUGUCGAGAAAAUGCAGUCAUGACUUUGAUCUUUGGUGAUGGUGAUGAACUGAUGAUGAAGUUGUUCUUUGUUUUUUGUUUUUUUUUUGGAUUUUUAGGAUUUUUUUUUUUGGUUAUUUGACUUGUUAUUUUCUUUGUAUGUUUUAUAUUUUUGGAGAAAACAUAAUGAUGUGAAUUUGUGAAUGGACGGGAUAUAUAUUUUUUAAAAAUGAGGAAAAAUUCUAAAUUUGAUAUUAGUUUUAUGUAAAGUUGAAAACUUCUCUUUUGUAUGGUUCAGAAAAUUUCAAAAGGAGUAGAUGAUAACACGAAGAAUUCCUAACUAUGGAAAGAGUCAAAAGAGAUUAGUUUAUAAAACAGGCAUUAUCAUCAGAAUAUGUUUUUUUGACGUUAUUAUAAAUUAUACGCUUCUCUUUUAGAGAAACCGGACUCGAACCCGGAUUUAGUGAAAAGACAAGAAAGGUGAGAAUCACUAACCCAUGUGCUCCUUCUCAAAAUGGUAUGUUUAUAGUUGUUAGGAACAACAUAUUUAUACUAAACUGUAGUUAACUUGUGAAUUCUCUUAAAUCAAUAUCAUAACCAAAUGAAAUCCAAUCCAAGAAUGGAUGGAACCACUAAUUGUUUAUAUAUUUCUAAAAAAAAACCCCAAAGCUACCAAUCAAGGAAGAUUAUACAUCUAAUAAUACCAUAUUAAUUAAAUUUAAGUCAUUAUAUUUUAUAUUUCACCUUUUGUUGAAUUUGAUAUAAUUUCUUUAAAAUGUUGAUUCAUCAUAUUAUUCAUAUGCUUAAUAAACAAUAAAACUAUAUUUGUUUCAUGUAUAUGUUAUGAUUCAAAAUUUUAAAAUAUAUCUUAAAUUACACAAUAGAUGAAAUUGUGUGAAAAUUUGCCCAUAAAAUACAACAUGUGGUGAGAGUGACAACAUAAUUGAGUAUAUGUAUGAAUUCUCAAGUACAAAAGAAAAGGAGAAAAAUAUUUUGUUUUAACUAUACAAAUAAGCCGUUUGAUGAAAACAUUUCCAAGUAGGUGUAUCUUAGAAAAAGACAACUCAAACAUGUCAUAUUGAAAGCGCAGUUAAUACCCUUGCAAUGAAAACAUGUUUACAUGGCUAACGAAACAAACUCCACUCUAGGUUUUUAACGUUUAUUUAAACAAGAAAAUCAUACAACUUAUAUAAAAAUGAGUAUUGAAAGAUUGUAAAGGCUAAAGAGGAAAUAUAUACGAACAAUUUCACAUUCUUAUAUAUAAUAUAUGAGUCAAUAGAAGAUGAAAAAGAGUUAAAUAAAAAUGGCGAGCAAAUUUAUAGAAAAUGAUUAGAGAAACUGUGGUGGAAGUCUGAAAUAUUUAUACUAAAAUCUGGAAAGAUAAUGCACAUAACUUGUAUAAAUUAUAUUAUAUUCAAAUAAUUAUGUAUUUUUAAAAACAAAUAAGUAUAUUUAUACUCAAAGAUUCGGAUGCAUAAAAGUUUCAAAUCAAUUUUUGUGCACGUGAUACAUAAUCUAGUAUCUUUAUAAGGUUUAUACAUAAUCUAGUAUCUUUAUAAGGUUUAGGGAUCUAGGUGAUUUUGGUGGUUAAUUUUUAAUUUUUUUUUUGUUUUUGUUUAAGCUAUGACAAUGUAAUUAAAUGACGGGAUAAAUUUAGACUUUGGUUUUAAUAUAAUGUCGUUAGUAAAACAAAUCAAAAGUAAAUAAUAUAAACUUGCAAUAUUUUUAUAAGUUUAACCUAAAUGAUUCUUAAUACAAAUCUAUAUUAACAUUUUUGAAGUACCUUUUGUGUUCUACCCUUUUAUUUGGUGAUAUUUUCAUAAUUAGCUCCUUACCAUUUGAUUAAAUAGAAAAAGUUUAAGAUAAAUUUUAUAAUUAAAUCAUAAUAAAAUUGCAAAACUAGAAAUCAAUAUUUAUUACAUUUAAUAAAUUUCCUAAAAUCUCUCCCUAAUAAAUCAAAUAUCUCUCCAACAUUUUUAUAUGAUUUUAUUUGUUUUUAAAUUUAUAUUAUUACAUAAACAUAUGUAUAAUAAAAAUAUAAUUUUUUUGCAUAUGUUAUAAUUUGAAUUUUUAGAAACGGAUGUAUAUUACUCAAACGAUACAAAAAUAGAUGUACUAAAGUAUUAUUGAUAAUUGUAUAGCACGGGUUAUAUGAUGGAACGGAUUAUAAUUUAUAUAAUUAUGAUUAUAGAUAUUUUUACGGGUGGUCUACUAUAGUAUAACUCACAAAAUAUUUUAAUAUGAAAUUAUACUAUGUAAACGAAUAUUAUGUCAAUAUCAUUUCAUUAUUUUAAAUAUUAUACUUAUUUAAUUACUUUGAUCAAAUUACGAUUAUAUAAAGAAUAAAUUAUCAUAUAAUAUUUUAGGGGUUAAAUCAUAGAAUUAACAAUCAAAAUAUAAUUGUACACUCUUAUAUACCAAACAAAAUUAAUAAAAAAAAUUACAUUUUAGGAAUAUCGUCCCGCCCGCGGGUUAAAAUCUAGUUCCUAAUAAAAAGCAUUGCUGCAGAACACAUUAAGACCAUAAGAAAGAUAUUGAAGAUUCAAUCUAUGAUAUUGACUAGAUUUAUUAUAUGUUUAGUGAUUGGACAAACGAAAAACACUAUCACAAUCAUCUUAUCAAUAUUUCAUGCUUGAAGAAAUGUUCUUAUAUUAUCCCUUUUGCAUUUACAAAUGCCAAACCUUUCCUCCAAAAUUUUGUAACCUGACAAAAUUUCAUUUUCCAAGAAACCAAAAAAAUCAUUUUCCUUGUGUAUAAGCCUUUAACUGCUCGUAGUUGUUCUUGGCUCCUUGGAUUCCUUUCUUAAGUUCCUCAUACAUUUUCACUGAUGAUUCUGAAAACUGGUUGAGUUGUCCAACAAACCCUUCCAAGCUUGUCCUAAACCGAUCAAAUCCCGGACCACAAUCCUCCACAGUCUCAUCUUGCAACAUGUGAGCUGUCAGAUCGUUUUUGUUCUCACCCGACCGAUGUUUCUUGGUGCGAUUCUUUUCCUGUCGUGGCAAGAACCUGGCGACAUCAGAUGCAAGUGCUUUGAUGGAGCUUGAAACCUCUUUGGUUGGUAAUUCUUCGAGUUUUUCUAGCCAGAUUCCACAUGUUGCAUAAAUGGGAGGCCCAUAGUUUCUCAGUGGCGGAGGUGGUGCACGCCUUUUUCGUUUAGAGGAUGGUUGUGUUAAGGCGACACAUUUCACCAGCCACUCGUUUAUCGCUUUAAUAUACGAUUUCUGGCCUGUGAUCCACUUAGUGAAGCUUGAGGCCAACACGCGGAUUUCAUCUUCAAGGUGAGAUAUUACUUGUCUGUGCAACUCAGACUGCAUGUUGAGUUUAAUGUUUCCGCCUCUGUAACACGCUUUGAUUAACUGAAACUGAGCCUUGUGGCAUUCGAACAUCACUUCCCACAUACGACUCAAUCUAAUCACAUCCACGAAAUAAUAAAUAUAAUGGUUCAGGUCAAAUGAAAUCAAAAGAAUUGAGUAUACCGAAGACAGUGGCUUAACACAUACCCUUCAAUAAGUUCCUCAAGUUGAGGCUGGAGCUCUUUGUCACGGAGUUCUUCAAUCCGUCGUGAUAUGGAGUCGAUCCUAUGAAUCGCCACUCUGAUUCUGGAGUAAAGGUCUUUCACAACUGCACGUGUCUUGUCUAUUCUUUGUGAGCCUUUGCCUUCUGAUUCAAGUUCUCUCAAAAUUCUGCACUUCUCGUCAUACUCUCUUCGCACAGUCUGACUCCCCUGAAACCGAUAAAAGUGAAGAAAAUAAAUCAACUGCAAAAUAUUGAUUUUAUAAAAUCUAUUUAAAGGCCCUAUAAAAGUACCUUAACUUCAUCAUAGAGCUUCCGCUCCCAUGCAUACAGUCUGUCUAGCGUUGAGGCAUGGCUUCCAGCAAUCAUGCAAAUGUUUUCAAAGAGAUUGCUAUUGAGCUCUUCCACAUCAUCAGAAUUCAUUCCUCCAAGAGGAUUCCGAGAAGAUGAGGAUCGUGAAGAGUCAGUCCUAUGCCAGGUCAAGUAUUUCACCGAGUUCUGAGCAGGCUCUGCACAAAAACUUUGCAUGUAAACAAUCCAUAUAAUUUGCAACAGUUGACCUAAAAUGUAAAGAAGUUUAAUUACCUUCUGGUACAUCUUGGGGAUCUUCCCCACAAGAGAGACAGGUUUUGAACAGUGAUGAGGCACCGGAGCCACCUGCCAAAAGAAUAUGUGAUUUUUUUUCAAAUAUAAAUCACAAAGCAAUCUAGAUGCAGAGAUACAUUAGAUUAACUAAGGUGGAAUUUGAGGAUGCAUAUAUAUACACGUAAGUCUUCAAGAGAUGAAAAUUAUUACCCUUAUUUGAUGGAACUAUUGGACGGAAAUGCAAUUUAUUGGCUUCAAGCAUUCUAGGAACCUCUUUACCAGUCUCUGAAGCUUUAACGAAAAGCAACUCUAUCUCUUUCAUGCUUGACAAGAAGUCCCUGGGAGGAAGCUUGUUCUCGGUGUGAUCUCCCUUGUGUGGUGUUUUGUUCACUGGAGUGGCUGUUAAAGGCGUGACUGGUGGUGAUAACUCAGGAGUUUUACUUUUCUCAGCGUCCGAGAACUCGCUUUCAACUCCCUCUCUUUGAGGCAAAGCACUGUGAUCGCGGCGCACUCUAUUGAAGUUUUCAAAACUUCUUACUAGUGUAUCACUUGUUGGUUCAUCAAACUCAUCAUCGUCCGAAUCUCUGGACGCUUCCCUUUCUUGAAAAGAAAAAUUCUCACCAUCAUCCUCCACCUCUGGAGUUUCAUCCUCUCCCUUCACGGAUCUUGACACAUGACCAUUCCCAGCAUGAGACGAAGAAAGCUGGUUGUCAAUUGGAUGAGAAAGACCAAAAUAAUCCCAAGGUGCUUCAGGUGGCAUGGACGAAGGUUCUUCGAAUGAGGUUGAUUCCAGCUUUUCCAUAGACCUGCUUUGUGGAAGACUAGAUGAGGUUACAGUGGCAACAAUAGAAACCGGAGGUUUCUCUUCCACCUUUUUUGAAGAAAACCCUCUGAAUUUCAUAUGAUUGACCUGGAACGGACUGUUACUAGGAGGAGACGAAGGAGGUGAAUACGUGUCAUGAUGGGAAUGCGAAUGUGAAGCAGGUGGAGGAGAGUAUGACGGAUGAGAAACUGAUUUCUCGAUUAAGGCAAGAGGUUGUUCUGGUGUUGCACUAGUGGACGUAAACAAGGAAGACUCAACUGGAACUUCAGUCUCAGCAAAUUUUCUGAGGGCAGUUCCGGUACUCUUAAGAGACUGAACGUAUGAAACGUGAGCAGCAGCUAACAAACAUCUUCCAUCGAGUGCUUGUUGGACAAAUUUUUUUCGUUCCCGACAUAACUGUAAGGCUUUAUCUUCAUCUAUUCUGGAUGUUGAUGCACCCAUUGUCCAAUCUUACAUGCAAAAAAAGAGUUACAGAAUUAGAUUUACAACAUGCAGAAAUGUAAUCUUACACCAAUUAGACCAAGAAAUAACAUAAAAUUGACAGAAAUACUUGAAUAGUUUCAAAUCUAAAAAAGAAAACUUCCAAACUCUGAGGAAUGACCAUUUGGAAUUUUUCUAUUAUGUGAUUUUGGAGUUUCUUAUAGGUAGGAAGGAUGACCUAUUUGUGAGAUCCAUACUAGGAAAUAGGAUUUUUGAGAAUUUAUUAGCUCAUACCAAGGAAAAUGUAUUCUAUGUUUUCGUGUUCUUUUCUAGUUAUCCUGUUCUGGGUUAUAUUGUUUUAGUGAUCUUGAACUGAGAACUCUAACACAAACUACCACAACAAACACAAAACCGCUUCAUAGAGCAUAAGAACUUGAAAAGUUAUCAAGUGGACUAGAUUUAGUGAAAGAGGACUACCAAAAAAAACACCACUAACAGAUGAAUACAAAUGAACACAGAGAAGAAACACCACUAACAGAUGAAUACUAAGAAAACAAAAGGAACAAGCUUAUGUUACUCCCAACACAAACACAAUCAAAAAGUUCUCAGCUUCAUCAUACAUACCAAACAAAAAAACAACUUAAAAGCAUCAAAUACAGAACAAAAUUUCCACUUUAAAAGCAAAACGCAAUCUGACCACUUCCCUUAACCUAGUAAACCUAUUCCAAUGUUACAAUUUCCUCAAGCAAACCCGUUAUCCAAAAGAGUAAAACUUUCACAAAACCAAGUUGCAGUUUUGUGAGAAACAACCAGAAUCAGACACAAAAAGGCAACUUUUAUGCUAAUCCAAAACUAGGGCGAGCAAGAAACAUACACAAAGUCAUACCAUAGACAAAUACCAAACUAAUUAAACCAAAAAAAGGAUUUUUUUCUCAGAGUAAUCCAAAAUCAAAACUUGAAAAGUGAAGUAAUUUGACAAACCCACUAAUAAAGGAGAGAUUUUUAUAGAAAGGUAAAGAAACCCAAUUGAAAUUGAACCACUACAGUAUAACAAAACCUAAAAAAAACCCCAAUCUAGUAGCUUCCUCACACAAACAGAACAAACCCAGAUGAAGAAACAACGAUACCUAAGAGUCGGUGAAUCAAAGAUAGGAGCUUUGGAGUCACGCGAGAGGAGAGGAGAGGAUCAAACAAAAAACAAAACGAAACGUCUCUGCUUCUUGCUACAGGAGGUGAAGAGAGAGAGAGGUGUGUGAGUCAGCAGCGAAUCAGAUGGGCAGAGAGAGAGAGAUGAGGAAUCUUAUGCGGGAGGAGAAAAAGGCGUUUGUGUGUGUGUGUGUGACUGACUAACAACAAAAUACAACAACAUGCAAUAAAGCAUUUGCUUGCUUGUAAAGAUCGACUUUGACGGAUGAGUACAAAAACGGUAACUUUUUUCUUCUUACCCUUGUUAUUCUCUCUUGGUCACUUUUUCUUACACUUUUCUUUAACAUGUCUUUGUGUUUUUUUUUUUGCUAAUUAGUUUAAUAUAACCAAGUAACUAACAUCCUUAAUCUAUGGUUUUUAGUCAAUGACUUUAUAAAACAGUUUUGUUAUAAUGUCAACUCACAUUUUAUUAAUAUAUAAAAUGGUAUAAGAGAAAGAGAAUCCAUUAGAUUAUUUUUAAAACUCACAUUUGGGGAAUAGAAAUAGUUUUUUGUUUCUUAAAAUAAAAAAAGUCUAUUUGACAUUUAUGUUUUGAAUUACAUAUUUUGUAUAUGGAUAAAGUGGACUAUAGCAUUAAAACAUCUUCAUCGGUAAGAGACGUUCAAAGUUUCCAAUAUAUUAUUAUUAUUAUUAUUUAUUUUAAAUUUAUUUUAUUGAAAAUUAUUAAUUAGUUAUGUUUUUAUUUUUCUUGUUAUGGAAAGAGAGAAAAAAACCCCCUUCAAAAACUUAAUCAUAAAACAAAUACAAGCAUGGCGUGAAAACAGUUCCACGAGUAUCCUCCGUCAAAAGUAAAACAACAUUACUAGAAUCCACCUCAAACCGAUGAAAAUCAAAAGAUAGAGUAGAUGCAUAGUUUGCCCAUCUAUAUGUUAGGCGAUUGGUCUUCUUAUACACGUGAGAAAUACAAAUAUUCUAUUCCCAUAAUAUUAAUUAAUUAUAUGAUGACGCAUGUUAUGAGAAUAUAUAAACUAGAGACUAAAAGGUUUUUGAAGAACCGUUUCUUAAUUUUUUUAUCGAUUUAUUUUCUAUAUUUUCAUCUUUUUAAUAUUAGUUUAAGUAUGUAUUUCUAAACUAGAGUUUCCGAUGAAAGUGCUUUUAGUAAACUAGAUCACUCUAAUUUUGGAUGAAUAGUAAUCAAGUCUAAACACAAGGUUAGCCCAAAUGAAUAAAGUAAACACAUUUAGACCUAAGGUUCAUCAACAUUUGUUUAAGAAAAUCUUACAAAAAUGUCUUUUAAAAAAAAGAAUAUUUAAAAUAAGGCCCCCAAUUUAUUUUGGGAUAUAAAUUAAAGUCCAAAAUAUUUAAAAAAUUUAGUAUAUAUUUGAUGAAAAAUCCAAAACAUAAGUUCUAGUAAAAAGCCCUAAACCAUUUUUUCCCCUAAGGUUCUUAAUAAUGUUGAGUUACGACUAAUAAGAAAUUUUCUUGAACUAAAUUUAUUUCUAUGUAAAAAUGUUAUGUAGUUGGUUUACAUAAUAUGUCUUCUAUACAUAAUUCUCUCGUAUUACUAUGAAUUAUAAUUUAUAGUAGAUAUAAAUGGUCCAGUUUACAAACAGAUUUGUCUGCCUCAACUACUGUAGCCAUUUAAAUUCUUAUUGGCUGAAUUUGUGGAACUGUUUGAAGAACUUUCUUCGAAAUGGUUGAUAAAAUUUGCAAAAACAAUUGGAAGAAUAACAAGGGUGUAACAAAAAUUAAAUCAAGAAAUCAAUUAAAAUUUAUCAUUGAAUUUAUUUAGAUUAUACAGUUUUAUACAUAUAUAAAUAAUCAUAUCAAAUUUAAUAAAAUAUAAAAAUUAACAAUAAUAUAAAGUAAAUUAAAAGAAAUCUAAAUAAAACCAAAAGAACAUGAAUUCACAACAACUAAUUCUAAUCGAGAUUGUGUGUCGUUUAAUAAAAAUAAAAAAUUAUAUCUUCCAAAAAUAACUAAAACUCUAUACAGUACUUUAGUCCCAAAAUUCAAAUAAUUUUCAGUAAACUGUAACCUAGCCGGUUAAACCAAUUCACCAGGUUACGAGUUAAUGGCGAGUGUUAUUGGUUUUUAGAUUAUCGGUUAGUAGAAUUAAACUUACAAAUGUUCAUGUCAUGGAUUAACCGGUCGAACCGGCCGGCCCGGUGAGAAAAUAUUGGUAAAUUAAUUUAAAAAAGUAAAAACCCUUAAUUUUCAUGAAGACGAAGAUGGGCCUUUGAGUAAGGCCAAAUUGAAUAACACUGUAACAGCAGCAGACCUCGUAAAGGAAGAGAGAGAGAAGCUUUGAGUGAAUCGUAGAUUCUCCGAUUUAGGGUUCCGAUCGUAAUGGCCGAUGUGACUCUUCCUCCGUCUGAUUCCGUCGAUAACCGCCUCCCUGAGAAAUCGACCUCUUCCUCACCACCUCCACCACCGCCUUCUUCCUCUCUGCCGCAACAAGAGCAGGAACAUGAACAGCAGCAGCCUCCACAACGCCGGGAGAGAGAUUCACGAGAGCGUCGUGACGACAAAGACCUCGAACGUCCGCCUAAUCGCCGUGACCGUGACCGUUCGCCUCUCCCACCGCCUCGUAGGGAUUACAAGAGACGACCUAGCAUGAGUCCUCCGCCACCGUACAGAGAUAGACGGCACUCUCCUCCCAUGCGCCGCUCUCCUCCUCAUAAGCGUUAUCGGAGGGAUGAUAAUGGCUAUGAUGCUCGCCGUGGCAGUCCUCGUGGUGGCUAUGGCCCUCCCGAUAGAAGGUAAUCUUUAUCUCUUAUCCCUGGAUCUUCUUUGCUGUGACACAUUGCUCACACUUCAUUUGGAAUUGCAUCGAAGUUAAUUUGUUACCGAUUGAACUAUAAUUCAAAGUCAUAUGGGAACUGUGUUUUGCUACAAGGAUAAUAUAAGUUGUAAUGUUGCUUAGCUGAGAAUAGAAAAGUGCAUCACUUAUAGUUCAUUAUCCUCUUGUAUCACUGAUUGUUGUAUCCUAAUGUUUACUCAAUUCUUCCUUUGCAUGUUAGAUUUGGAUAUGACUAUGGUGGAGGAUAUGACCGUGAAAUGGGUGGGAGGCCUAACUAUGGCGAUGAAAGGCCUCAUGGCCGCUUUAUGGGUCGUUUUCAGGGUGAGACAUCUCUUCCUUAGAUAUUUUUAAGGGAACCUGUUUUACCACUUUUGCACUUCUGAGACUUGUUUAAGAUGACUGUCAUUAGUAGUUCUUUUGAAGAUUUCUGGUUCAUUUGACUAGCACAGUUCAUAGUCAUAGCUUCAUAUCUUUCUCUCUAUAUGCUGUGGAUUGGAUACAGUUUGAGUUAACUUAUUCACAAUUCUAUUUGUAAACAAGCAAUCUGUUUUAAGAGAGAGAUAUUGUUAUCUACCUUUUUAAUGUGUAUUUCUUUUGGCAGACUGGGAGGGAGGACGUGGAGGUUAUGGUGAUGCUUCCAACAGUGGAAAUACUCAAAGGUUCUUUGACCCUUUUAGAAUGUUCUUUCUUCGAUGAGACAUACAUGCUUGCUUUCUUAUAGCUCCUGGAAAGUUAGAGUAAUUGUUUGAGAGACACUAUUGAUCAGACACAAUUAAUUAAAAUAAUUUCUCAACAAUGUGAUGUACUGAUGUUGAGUCUAUCCAAUACUAGAUAACGCCAUUAUUUUUGGUCCCAAUUGUUAAAAUCUGAUCUUUUUAAUGUUUAAGAUAAUGGCUCACAACUACUGCUGUUUGUAGACUCCCUUGUUGUUGCAUUUAACAAUACAUACCGUUGUAUUUCGUUUAUCCAGGGAUGGCUUGAUGUCAUACAAGCAAUUUAUCCAGGAGUUGGAAGAUGAUAUAUUGCCAUCUGAAGCUGAACGCAGGUGUUGUUAUAUCUGCAACUUGUUCUUGUUGGUUAAACAGUUGUAUUGUAAAGCUGCAGGUGUAAAGCUUUAUUCCUGAUGCAGAUAUCAAGAAUACAAGUCAGAGUAUAUCACAACACAAAAGCGUGCCUUUUUUAACACCCACAAAGAGGAAGAAUGGUGAUUUCCACUAUCAAUUUCAAUCUAUUACAUUCUUCGGGUAUAUUUUGCAAGCUAAACUAUUAACAUGUGUAUCUAUGUUACACGUCCAGGUUGAAAAAUAAGUAUCAUCCAACCAACUUACUCUCUGUCAUAGAAAGGUUAGUUCAAGAGCCAUUUGCAGCAGUUCACUUCGUUUUUAGUGCCUGGAAGGUGUUUUAAUAAUAGUAUACAUUGAAAAAUAUGUAUUAUAUACAUUUGUGGUUUUUCUUUUCAGGAGGAAUGACCUUGCACGGAAGGUAGCGAAGGAUUUCUUACUUGAUUUGCAGGGCGGGGCACUGGAUUUGUAAGCUAAAUUCCUUUGCAUGUACACCACAUUUAUGAUCCUGAUCACCAUUCUGUCAUCUCUAAAGCUCAGUUUCCCUUGAUCCGUUCCAGAGGUCCUGCAGUGACAGCAUUGAAUAAAUCUGGCCAGGCCACUGAGCAAAAUUCCGAUGAUGAAGCAGCUGGUGGUAAGAGAAAAAGACAUGAUAGGGCUAACGAGGCUGACUUUUCAGCUGCACCGAAAGCACCAAGUUUCACUUCUGAUCCAAAGAGAAUCCUAACUGACAUUGAACAAGCGCAAGCACUUGUGCGUAAGCUAGACUCUGAGAAACGAAUUGAGGAAAACCUUUUAUCAGGUUCAGAAACUGAAAAAUCAGGUAGAGAUAAAUUACACAGUGGUUCGACCGGUCCAGUUAUAAUCAUUAGGGGGUUGACGUCUGUGAAAGGCCUUGAGGGUGUUGAAUUGCUUGACACACUUGUCACAUAUCUCUGGCGUGUUCAUGGUGUGGACUAUUACGGACUGGUUGAAACAAAUGAAGCUAAGGGUUUGCGGCAUGUGAGAGCUGAAGGUAAAGGUUCUGAUGCAAAAGGAGAUGAGAGUGAGAGUAAAUUUGACUCACAUUGGCAGGAGAGGUUGAAAGGUCAAGAUCCCUUGGAAGUGAUGGCAGCGAAAGAGAAGAUAGAUGCUGCUGCUACUGAAGCUUUAGAUCCACAUGUCCGAAAGAUUAGAGAUGAGAAGUAUGGUUGGAAAUAUGGUUGUGGAGCCAAGGGCUGCACGAAGCUGUUUCAUGCUGCUGAAUUUGUGUACAAACAUCUCAAGCUGAAACACACUGAGCUUGUUACUGAGCUGACUACAAAAGUUCGGGAAGAACUGUAUUUUCAGAACUAUAUGAAGUAUGUAAGAUUUUUUUGUUUGAUUUCCUCUACUGUCGUUUCUGUCAGGUUCGUAGUGAAAUUUUUUUAUGUGCUAUGUGCAGUGAUCCUAAUGCACCAGGAGGACAACCAGCUACCCAGCAAUCUGGUCCGGUACAUGAUCCGUUUCUAUUGCUAAUGGAAUGUUUAGUAGUCUGUAUCUUUGGGUUUUUACUGGUUUAGCUUUGUUUUGAGGUUUACUUACGGGGGUAAAAUAAAAUUUUGACAGAGAGAUAGACCUAUGAGACGUAAACCAGGUAUGGAGAACAGACUGAGGGAUGACCGAGGUGGACGUAGAGAGCGUGAUGGACGUGCCAAUGGAAAUGACAGAAAUGAUCGGUCCGAUGAUCGACAGAGAGGUGAAGGUGAUGGUCCUGAUGGUGGAAAUCCUGGGGAAGUUGGGUACGAUGCAUUUGGUGGACAAGGGGGUGUUCAUGUUCCUCCCUUCUUAUCGGAUAUAAACCCACCACCAAUGCUGAUGCCUGUUCCCGGUGCCGGGUAAGUUAAAGAUUAUUCACUCCACCAUGAUCUUGUUUCCAGUGUAAAAUGGUUACUGUAUCUAUUCAGUGAUUCUAACUGCGCUAAAUGAUGAUAUGGGCAGGCCACUGGGACCGUUUGUACCAGCACCACCUGAAGUUGCAAUGCAGAUGUUCAGGGACCCAAGUGGACCAAACCCUCCUUUUGAAGGUAGCGGCAGAGGUGGACCAGCUCCUUUUCUCUUAUCUCCGGCCUUCCGACAGGACCCUAGACGGCUACGCAGGUAACGCGGCUCACUCUAUACUUUCAUCUUUACAGCAAAACAUGAUUCAAUCAUAAGAACAAGAGUGCGUUGUCUCUUAAUAAACAAAUUAAUGAAAAAAAUGGUGCAGCUACCAAGACCUAGAUGCUCCAGAGGAAGAGGUGACUGUUAUCGAUUACAGGAGCUUGUAGACAAGAGAGUGCUAGAUAGGGAGAGCUAGCUAGAGCCGAUGCUAAGUUUUACCCAUUCGGUUAAAUGAAAUCAGUAAUAGCAGAUUGUGGCAUUUACAUGAAUCCUAUUGUGAUGUAUUUAUUUUUGUUCCUCCCAAUUUUCACCUCACUAAAGCGUAAAAAACACGCACCCCAUAUAUUUCCUUAUUGCUUUUCAUGUGCUUACUAACUCUGUUUGGACGAUCACAUAAAUGAAUGUGCAUGAGAAUUUCUUGUAUUCAGUAAUCAGUGCGUUUCAUCUAUAUUGUUUGUCAAACGUAGUCUAUGCUUUCUUCAAAGCUGGUUUAUUGCGUAACUGCUCAAGCAUGGCUGGAAUCACGAGUUCAAUGUAUAAAAAGGGAUAUAUACACUUCAAGGCAUGGCUCAAUGCGAACUUCUACACACUUGCUAAGAGAGGGACACGACACUUAUACAUAUAUUACACAUGAGACAUUGUAUCAUAUUUCUAACAUCAAUCACAUAGAUAAUACAGACGAGCCCUAAUGAGAUUAACAAGCAUGUUCCUGAAGUUUUUUCUUAUCUGGUGGUUGCUCUGUGGACAUUACUUGCGUUGCUUCUUUGCUUGAGGUUCUGUCUGUAACUCUCCCUGCAAAUGCAAGAUACCAUUUAGAUAAUUAAUAAGGCGGUACACAAACCAGGUACUAGUUCAAGAACAGUUAUAGCAGACCAACUAAUAUAAUUCAGAAACUAUAUAGAGGAAAAGAAAAAAAGAAUUGAAAGGGAGAGCGCCUACAACGAUAGAAAGCUGCUCACGGAUAUAGGCCAUUGAUCUCAACAUGGCACCUAGCGUAUCACGGGACACUUGAAAUUUGACCUCUGAUUCUCCUGUUGUUGUCUCAGUAUCUUGAAGCUGGGGUAAGGACAACAUAAUGUUUUCACACAGUUAACACUUUGUAGUUUCAAUUAAGAGUCACUAAUAUGGAGUAAGACAUUGACCGCGGUAAAGACCAGAGAGAGCCACAUGUAAAAUGAGCAAAUCUUUCUGCUAUUUUAUAAGUGGUUCUCCUAUAAAAUAAUGCAUCAUGGAAGAAGACGGUACUGCAGCUUAUUUAGUUCCUCUCAUGGAAAUGAUUCCUAUGAAGUGGUGAAACAAACUUCUCCAAUUAUUUUCAGACUAAAUCCAAGUGGGUUUCAAAAGAACCUUUGGUACAUAGGCAGAAUUGAAAUUUCAGUAUUCAAGUAGUGACGCUGGUCUGAAUAAUGCAAAAAGUACAGCAGCAAUGAAAGAAAAUCCAUAUUCUGCAACUAAUGUGGAGACAAACAAGUCAAACAACACAGAAUUUUCCUGCACUGAUGGUAUCUGGCAUCUAUGUCAGAACAAACCAAAGACAAUCAAUAAAUCAUAAAGACUUUUUUCUCGUCAAAAAGAGACUACAUGAGAAGCUACAAGCCUAGCGUGUAAAAAACAUACCUUCAAAUUGAUGACAGCUACUCUAUUGGCUGGAGACGAGAGUUGCUCGCUAAUGUAAGCCAUGGACCUUAGCAUGGGUUCAAGUGUGACGCUAGAAAGCUGAAAUUUGACCUCCAUAUCCGCUGAAGGAAACUUUCUGUAAUCGUGCAACUGAAAACAUCAUGAAAAAGAAUCCUCACUAAACCGGUCAACUACAUUUUUGCAGGAAGCAGCAACAUUUUGCCACAAAGGUUAUUGUCAAUUGUUCAAAUUUUCGGCAUCAGUAUGCUUAGAAAUAUCUAUUCUAAUCUCUUUUAGAUGAAUCAUCCCAUCAGACCAACUUUCAGCAAAAUUUACAGCAAACACUAUACAGAAAAAAGUAACUGGUUUAUGAAAUGCACACCUUUAAAUUGAUAACAGCAACUCUACCACCCGGCAUUGUAUUUUUACUCUCCAUCACCCAAGUCAUUGACUUAAGACAAGGAAGAGCUACCUGUAAGACAAAGCAAGUCAAAUUACCACCCAACACCAAUAAGCUGAAAGUAAGUCUGUGAAAGGUUCACUCUGGGUACCAUAUUCUCAGGAGCACCAUCGUCUCGGUGAAGCGACACUGGUGCCAUACGCGGUAGAUUCAGAUCAGCAACAGAUUGAGCUCUGGCCCCACCAUCGUUAAGGUUAAAUCUGCGUAUCAUUUCAUCCUGGCGCGGCCACAACAAAGGGGUUGUGUCAGCAGCUGAUAGCGAGGUCUUGUUACCACCACCAUGUGCGCUAGGAGGUACAGCUCUAGCUAUAUUUUUUCUGACAACUGAAACCUUCUUCCCACCUUCUCUAAGUGCCCCUAAAGCAACAUUAUAAGCUUCAGCUGUAACUGCCCCUUCCUCAGCGUACUUGAUGGCCUCACGACAUAAAUGAUUAUAGCGGUGUAUCAUGCUAUCAUGCCCAUUCUCAUUGAUAUGCUCAUCCAACUCUACCAUGCUCUUGGCAUUUCUUGUCCACCGUCUCAAAAUAUAGUGUGGUGGCAAAGUAAGUAUAUUUGUUACAGUAAACACUGUCAAAACAUGUCGGCAGAGUAUUCCACAGUGCUCAAACAUUUGACAGCUACAGUUUGCUCUCAUUUCAGGGUAGCAAAACGUUACUAUAUAAGCUUUGUUGUCAUUUUCAAAUUUUGCAACCCUAAAUGUGCUGGUAGUACCAUCAUCUUCUAUUCUAUUUGCAGUGUGAGCAAAUGUUUCAACCAACUCUUCCUGGAACUUUUCAAAAAUCUUCCUUGUGAAAAGAUUUGCAGCCUGAUUCUCCAUGGGUGAUGGCGUCUUCAAGACUGGAGGAGUGUUGACAGUGUCAAGAUCUGCUUCACCCUCCAGCUCAAACCAGCUCUCCAUAGCCCUUUCGUACAGCCUAAAGAACAUCGGAAGGGUUGUCUGCUGAUUCACAUAUCCAUCAAAAAAGGAACCCGAAUAACCUUGGCUAGGAAAUACUGCAGCAAAAAAAGAAUCCCGGAAAUAAACAGGUACCCACUGAGCUCGAGCAUUAUAUAAAGAAUUAAGCCAUUCAUGUCUUCCUAGGUCAUACUUUUCAAUGAUGGAAGUCCAGGACGAUUCAAACUCCUCAAUCGUUUCAGUGAAAUUGAUACAAUUAUAUAGCUCCACCUGAAAACUGGGAUACGCAAGACACACAUGAGCCAGCUUUUCCUGACCUUCUCUUAGCACAUCCCACUUAUUUAUACAGUGACGAGCACCUGGAAAUACCUGAGCAACAGCAAUCUGUAUGGCUCUAUCUUGAUCAGUUACCAAAGAGACGGGGGGUUGUUCUCUCAUUGCUGUUAGAAAAGUCUUAAAUAGCCAGAUAAAUGAAGUAUCAGACUCGUCCAAAAUCAGUGCACAGCCAAAUAUGAUAGUCUGACCAUGAUGAUUUACCCCAGUAAACGGAGCAAAAGGAACCCGAAACUGAUUGCACCUGUAUCUUGUAUCUAAGGUGACUGUGUCACCAAAAUGAGAAUAAGCAAACCUAGAUCUUGAAUCAGCCCAAAAUACAUUUGUCAUCUGAUUAUCUUCAUCAAGCUGAAUUGCAUAGAAAAAGCCAGGAUUCUCUGCCUGCAUCCUCUUAAAAUACUCCAACAGAUUAUGUGCAUCCCGUCCAAUUGUUCUCUUUGUGUUUGUAGCCAUAGAUCCAUAAUUUACUGUUCCUACGCCUCUAUUUGAAUCCUUAGACGCACUUCUAGAACUUCUGCUAUUAGAUUCUAAGGGAACGCGAUUUCCAUCCAUAGAAACAUACAUCAUACCACUAGGCACAUUUACCCCUUCUUGAUAACUAGAUUUUUCCGAAUUAGCAAAAUGCCUACGAGGCCGAAGACAAUGAAGCGUAUUAGGACUAGCCAAUCCAUGAGUAUGCUCUUUAACAAACUUCGUCACAACCCAUUUCUCCUGACCUCUCAUUUCUAUCCUAACCAUUGCAUCACAGCUCUCCGCAAGCCUUCUCUUAGACCUUUUGCUACUACAUACGAACUCCCGAACACUAACAGACCCAUCAGUUCUCGGAAGUGACUUGGAAGUAAAACCAAGCUGCCUCGAAUACUCGUCAUAGAAAGAUUUAGCUUCUUUCUCUGAACUAAACUCCAUACCAACACAUGGCUCUGCAAUACCAAUCUCAUCUUGAACUCCCAACGAAUUCUCGAUGUUAUUCGUUCCACUACAAUCACUAGGUUCAGCAUCUACAUCAUCUCCCAUCCCAUGAUUCCCCAUUGACAAACCCUCUUCAACCAAAUGAAUAUCCAUAGUCUCACUCACUAACUAAGCACUUCCUAAAUAAGUUCCAAUUUCACAUUCUCAUCUUCACAAGUCUACAACACUGCAUCAAACAAAAAGUACCAUUAGUGUUUGUAAAUCUUUAAAAGACUUAAUUUUUCCAACAUCGACUACAUAUAGAGAAGGAGGACUCUGCAUCUAUCAUCACUCUCCGAUUGUGAUACAGAGAAACCCAGAAAGAGGAGAAAGCAAAGACAUAAGGGAAGGAGCAGCUUACGUGAGUGUUGCGACGAACCUGGAAGAAUCAAAGUCGUGAAAUUGGAAGAAGGGUUACAACAAUUUGGGAAAAUUGAGAAGCUGCUUUGUUCAGAUUCGACCGGAGGAUUGAAAACUAAACUCGGAGCUUGUGCUUCGUUUGAGAGGAAGAAGAAGAAGACAUUGAAACUCCAACGACGUCGUUUUUGACGGGAAAGGUAAAAUAAAAACAAACCCUAACACCUGAGAAACGACGUCCGGGGAGCAUAAAAACAAACAAAAUAUAAAAAUAAAAUGAAUAAAAUUACAAUAUUGUAUUUAACAAAAUUUGGUGGCAUUUAGAUUUGGGAAAUAUGUUGAGAAGAACACGAAUUUUUUAAUUUGGAGCAAAGAAAAAUUUGACUUUCAGAUAAAAUGGUGAAGUUUCAUGGAUUUGACUAUUCGGACAUGUCGUUAAUACGGUUAAGUUUCUGUUAGAGUUUCUUUUUUAACGAAAAAGACGUUGGUUUGUUAUUUUUCAAAAUUACGUCGUUUCAUUAAAAUUAAAAACUACUAACGGUGUUUACAAUUGGUCGAACUCAUGACUUUUGCGUACUAUUAGCAAACACUCAACCAUUAAGCCAGGAUCAUAUAUUUUUUUUUGUGUUUUUUUAGGAUGUUUAACUUAUUAUUAAUGAUUGGUGAUUUUAUGAGAUUUUUACUUUAUUAUUUAUUUAUUUUAGAAUUUUUAUCCAAAAAAGCAAUAUAAAAUAAAAUAAAUUGUUAUUAGACCUGACAUAUAAAGAAAAAUAUAUACAAAAAGAAAAAUAUAUCUUCAGUAUAACGAAAUUGCAUGUUUUCACUGGUUUAUACGUUAUACUGUAGACUGUAGUUAUACAUGUAUCCAUGAGUAUAAUUACUUAAUUACGUAGAUAUUAAGAAAAAAGGAAAUUGAGAAAAUUUUGAAAUUGAUGCUUAAUACCAAAAGUAGAAUGUGUAAAAAAAAAAGAAAAAAAAAAGAAUGUGUAACAUAUUCAUACUUGUAUAAAUGUCGCCGAUGAAUGAUCAUGCAAUUUGAUUAUAUAAACUUUGGUUUUCAAGGUCAGCCAUUAUUAAGAUCGUGACAUGUGUCAAUUAUAAAGAUAAGAUGUUCACACGUGUCGAUUCUAAUUUUGUUAAUAUUUAGAUAAAAUAGAUAUUUAUGAAAGAUAUAUAAAAAUUUAUACAUAUAUAAAUGUAAUUUGUGUGUAUAUUUAUAUGUUUACACACAUAUUUUGGAUAAAUUUUGGGCUUGUUAAAAAUAAGUGCCCAAAUAAACCAAAAACUAAAAAGAAAGAGUUGAUAAGUUAAAAAUUAGUUUUUUCAAUGAGAGAGGGGAGAAGUUACGUAGGUGUCCUUAUAUCAAUUUAAAAUAAUAAUAAUUAUCUUUUUUUGGUUCUUAGAGCAUUUAAUGUUUAUUUUCGGUGCAAUUCUCUGCACUAACUUGGGAAAAAGUGAUUUAUGUCAACGAAAUGAUAAUGCAGUAUAUAUAUUGUUAUCGGAUAACUAGAUUGCAUAUAUAGAUUGUUACCGGAUUGUUAUCAGAUGACUAGGUUGUUAUCAAAAAUAUGGUGAUAACGAAGCAUCAUGUGUGGAUGUUAUCGGAUAUUAUCAUGUGUGGAUGUUAUCGGAUAACGAAUGGGUUAUAUGUUGAUUAGUAAUAACAUAACCACUAUUUUAUCAACUCAAACGAAAAUAUCAUUUCGACUAAUUAUAAACUCUAAACCCUAACCACUAUUUUAUCAACCCAAAGCAAAAUAUAAUUUCGUUUAAUUACAAAAUCUAACCCUAACCACUAUUUUAUCAACCCAAACGAAAAUAUCAUUUCGACUAAUUAUAAACUCUAAACCCUAACCACUAUUUUAUCAACCCAAAGCAAAAUAUAAUUUCGUUUAAUUACAAAAUCUAACCCUAACCACUAUUUUAUCAACCCAAACCAAAAUAUAAUUUCGACUAAUUAUAAACUCUAAACCCUAGCCACUAUUUUAUCAACCCAGAGCAAAAUAUAAUUUUGUUUAAUUACAAAAUCUAAACCCUAAUCACUAUUUUGUCAACCCAAACUGAAAUAUAAUUUGAUUUUAAUAUAAAAUCUAAACCCUAACCACUAUUUUGUCAACCCAAACCAAAAUAUAAUUUCGUUUAAUUUACAAAAACUAAACCCUUACAACUAUUUUGUCAACCCAAACCAAAAUAUAAUGUCGUUUUAUUACAAAAUCUAAACCCCAACCACUAUUUUAUAAACACAAAUAAAAAUACAUUUUUGUUUUUUUAUAAAAUCUAAAGCCUAACCACUGUUUUAUAAACUCAAACCGAUAUAUAUAUUUUCAUGAAUUUGAUAACACUGUUCAUCAGUGAUUAAAAGCAUUCGAUAAUUUUUUUUUAAACAUGUUAAAUAAUAUGUUAUCGCGUAAAUUACAUAUUAUCCGUUAAAUUGAGUAUUUAUAUAAACUGGUAGUAUAAAUAUUUUAUACAAGUAUGUAAAUAUAGUUUUCCUUAGAUACCAUAGACCUAGACCUAGGGACAGAACCCCUGCAUUCUAUUUUCUCUUAGAUACCAUAGACCUAGGGACAAAAACGUAUGCAAAAAGAAGAGUUAAAUAACAAAUUAUUGAGGAUGGAUAUUGAACUUUUUUUUUAUCUGCACCCCUGCAUUAUAGUUUCCCAUAAAUUUUAACCUUUUUAGUGGUUUUUUGAUAAACUUUGAAGUAGGGGUAUUUUUAAAAAGUGGUACUGAAAAAGGGUAUUUUUGAUAGAUUAAAAAGUAAAAAAAUUGAACGAGAUUAUUUAUCGAUUUGGGUUGAUAAAAGAGGUGUGAGAUUUAGGUUUUACAAUUAAACAAAGUUAUUUAUCAGUUUGGGUUCGUAAAAGAGAAUUAGGAUUUACAUUUUACAAAUAAAAUAGAUUUUGAGUUAAAUAAAUAAAUAUUUUUAUUCAUGAUUUUAAUUUUAUAAUAUGUUAUAUUUGUUUAAUUUUUAAUUUAUAUAUGAAUGUAUUAUGCCAUUGAGCAAUUCAUUGUAUAAAUCAUAAGGGUGAAUAAAAUAUUUUUGAAAAUCAUAUUUUAACUUAAAUUAAAGAUAACAAAAGUUUAAUAUAAUUCGUAAUAUAAUAAUUUUUUUUAGGGACAAUUUUAAAAAUACCCCUUUUGGAGAUCACUUUUUUUUAGAAAUGCCCCGAUAUGAAGAACAUUUUUAAGAUACCCUUGUUUUGAUGGAAAAAGACAAUACUGCCCUUAAUUCUUUUAACCUAGAAAAAUUCAUUCUCUCUUCUCCGAUCUCUCUCUCCUAUCUCUAAUGGCGAUUUCGUUUUCAUCACCGGCGAUCUCGUCUUCAAUGCCGUGUUCUCGUCUCUCAUCGCCGUGUUAAAUCGUCGAUCAGCCGUCGUCGAUCUCGUUGUCUUCGGUUCUUCAGUAACAUCCCGUUCGUAUUUCACCAUUGAUGCGAUCUCGUUGUUCGUCGCUGCUCAACGCCCUCUCCAUAAAUGUAUGUACCUUGUGAACUGAGAUGAGAAAGGUGAUUUUUCCAUUCCUUCCUUGUUUUAUUGUUUACGUUCUUGACGUCGGCGUGUUUGUAAGUUUUCUCAAUUUUUUGUCGGUAAUGUUUAGCUUUAUUGUAGUCUUAGGUUGUUUUGUGGUUGGGUUUCGACUGUGUGAAGUAUUUGUUCUGGUCAUUUGGUUGAAGAUUGAGAGAUUUGUGAUGAAGCUGAAUCUUCUCUAGAUUUUACGGUUGAGUUUUAUGAAGAGAUGUAAUGUGGUUUCAUAUGCUUCAGUUCGUACUUGUUCAUUGUCAAUCAAUGUUAAUGGUUUGGAUCACAAUAUCGUGCAGUCCAUAAUAUGGGAUGCCAAGACUUUAGAGCAGAGGUUGUACACAACACCACCUCAUCAUGUGAGUCUCCCUUCCUUGUCUGGUUUUAUUUAUACAAUUGAGCUAGGCUCUCUCGGUCUCGGUCUCUGUCAUUCCCACAUAUGUGAUUUUGCAGACGGAAACUGAACAAGCAAAAACAAAGACCAUCGACCCCAGAACAACCAUGGAAAAAAAAAUCAGCCUUUCAUUUCACGGCAGAUCUUCCUUAGGAUGACACCAACAAGUCCAUGAGUACAAGCGAAGAAGACUCAAUGAGUACAAGCGGGAGUUGUGUCACUGGCCCAGAACCAUUCUACUACAUGAGAUUCAUGCCUGCGCCUAUCAACAAACCAAAAAUGGAAAAACAGGAAAGCCUUGCGGAGAAGAUGACCAAAUCUGAUCUCAUGGUCGAGGACAGUGGUGAGCUUUAAUUCGGAGAAGAUGUUGACUUUCUAGAAAAUAAUACAUGCUUAUGUAGUAAAUAUGUAUAUUAUAUUGUUCAUGUUGUAGAGAUCAACGAUACUACAUAGUUAUUUUUUGUAUAUUUUAGUUAUUUCUUGUAUAUUUUUAGCCAGUGAUGGAGUUGUCUUCUUUUGUUUUGUCAAACAAAGUCUUCUUUCAUAUGUAAUUUAAAUGGUUACAAAAUAGUUGUGCAUAAGAACCUUGCAUUAUCGUCACAACUUUAUAAAACCUUUUAAAACAUUUUUAAAACCUUUCCAAAACAUUUCAAAGAUUUUAUAAGGUGUUUUAAUAUAUAUAUAUAUAUAUAUAUUAAGAUUUUAAAAGUUUAAAAAGUUUUACAAGACUUUUAUAAGGUUUUACAAGGCUUUUAUAUAAAAUUUAUAAGGUUUUACAAGGUUUUUAUAAAUAUUUUAUAAGGUUUUUAAAAGGUUUUACAACGUAUUUAAAAGGUUUUUUAAAGGUUUUAUAAGGUGUUUAAAUAUAUUAAGGUUCUUUUAAAACUUUUACAAAGCUUUUAUAAGAUUUUACAAGGCUUUUAUAAAUAUUUUAUAAGAUUUUACAAGGGUUUUAUAAAUAUCUUCUAAGGCUUUUAUAAGGUUUUUAAAAAAAUUUGUAAAGUAUUUAAAAGGUUUUACAAAAAUUUGUAAAGUAUUUAAAAGGUUUUACAAAAUUUUAUAAGGUGUUUAAAUGGAUAUUAAGGUUUUAAAUUAAAACUAUGUAAAAAGUAUUACAAGACUUUUAUAAGCUUUUACAAGGCUUUUAUAAAUAUUUUAUAAGGCUUUUAUAAGGUUUUGUUAAAGGGUUUUAAAAGAUUUUGAAACUUAUUUAAAAGGUUUUGAAAAGGUUUUACAAUAUAUUUAAAAUGUUUUACAGCAUAUUUAAAAGGUUUUUACAAGGUUUUAUAAGGUGUUUAAAUGUAUUAAGGUUUUAAAAACUAUUAAAAAGGUUUACUAAGAUUUUAAAAGGCUUUUAUAAAUAUUUUAUAAGGCUUUUAUAAGGUUUUAAAAAAUUUUCAAAAGUAUUUAAAAGGUGUUUAAAUGGAUAUUGAGGCUUUAAAACUAUUUAAAAAGUCUUACAAGGCUUUUAUAAGGUUUUAGAAGGUUUUUUAAAGAUUUUAUAAGGCUUUUAUAACGUUUUAUAAGGCUUUUAUAAAGAGUUUAUAAGACUUUUAUAAAGGUUUUAAAAAGUAGCAAAAUCCAUAUAUUGAUGAAUAUAUGCUUCUCGUUAACAAACAACAAUUUGCAUAAACGGUAUGUCUAAAAAAACAUAUUUUAUAAGGUUCCUAAACAUAGUUCAGACUAUUAUGCUUCUACCAUGACAAAACAUCAUAAGCUGAUCCUAAACUCUGUCGCUCAACUGUUUCUAUCAACUGGAUUUAUAUUGAUCAAUUCAUCCCAGUACUUCUCAAACUUGUCCUUCAUACUUCUUGCUUGUUUCAGUACUUUUAGAAUUAUACAAAGACUGCAGAGACUAGAAGAAAUGAGGGAACCACUCUCUUUGAUGAAGAGAAGGAGAAGUAGAUGAAAUGAGAGAUUGCUACAUUUUUCAUCACUCGUGACUGCAGGCUGCAGCUCUUACCUGUUACAAUCAAUAAUAUCACGGCCAAACAAAAUCGACAAUACAGAACCAGAAAAAACAGAACAACAACUAGACCAGUUAACCUAAUCAUUCAAACUGACCCAAAAUGUGACAGAAAAGAGGUUUGCGCAUUUGUUUCAGACUAACCUCCAUUAGCUUGGUGAUAAGCUGCACCUUCUGUUCUCAAGUUUCUUAGAAGUUAUGGGUUCAAAGAUUCUCAAAUCUCCAGCAUCGUUAGGACUGAUCCACGAGUGAUUAUAGUUAUAGCUAAUCCUGCGACAUCGCUUGAUUCAAAGCUUCAGUUUUUGCAGUCAAGAGGGUACGAUGCACAUGUAGCAACACCUGCAAUUAAAGAAAAAAUUAACCAAAGCUAGGAGAGAGAGACCAAAACUGGUCUCAUCUAGUUCAUUACCUCAAAUACAUGAUCUAUGAGUCUCAUAUAGUCCAUUAAACAUAGCAGCUCUUCUAGACAACAAAACCAACAUAACAACACCAAAUCUAUAGAUAUCAAAUUCACUCAUCCUACACACACAAGAAACAAACAUCUUCACCAUCUAUUUCAUAUUCAUAUCCAACAAUUCCUAUUAAAAUACCAUCCUCUAAUCAUCUAAAUACAAAAAUUGCAGACAUCAAUACAUAAUUUGUAACCAAUUCAUCAAAAUCUAGUUUUUGCCAAAUUCAAAAACCCCAAUACUAGGAAAGUGAGCAAAGAGUUGUAAAGUUAUCUCCAUUUUGAACAGCAAUGCUAAUUUCAAAUUAUGAUUUUGUCUCUUCAAAUCUGAGAAACCAUGUUCAAGAAGGAGAAGACUAGAAUCUGAGAGAGAGAGAGAGAGAGAGAGAUCUGCCUCGUAAACCUCUGAUUUCAGCCACGACAAAGGUCUGAAGUCGAAGAACGACAACGACGUUGAGAUCUCCUCUUGAAUUGACGCCGGCAGCGACAAGAUCGGAGACAAAAGAACAACAGAGAAGGAGAGAACAUAGAAGCAUGACGACGACGGCGAAGCUUGAAUAUACGACUCCUUACCAUGGCCGCCAUGGCCCCAGAGCUGAGAACGAAGGUGAAGAUGACCAUCCUCUAUUGUGACGGCUACAAACACAUGACAAAUCAAUUAGCUUUUCGAGGAUAAAACGGGAAUAAAAAUAUAAAUGAGGGUAGAAUUAAAAAUGGCCAAUAAAGGGGGUAUUUUUUAAAAAUGGUUAGUGAAAAGGGGUAUUUCUAACAAAUUCUCUUUUUUUUUUUUGUAAAUAUGUAGUUUUUUAUAAUUCGUAUUUGAAAGAUUUUUAAUGUUUUCCUCAACGAUACUAUAAUUUAUUUAAAUUCUUUAUGUUUAUUUGCGUUGUUUAUAUGAACUUAUUAACAAAUGACUAUAUUUUUAGUUAACAUCAUAUUUUAGAUUGAUGUUAAUUUGAAAGAACUUUACCAUCAUAUUAAAUAAUAAUUAAUUUCAGCUUAACUUGUGUACUAGGCACAAGCAUCGCAUAGUCUUGAUCUUCCGCAAUUAUGAUGAUUGCAGUAAAAAUUAAAUAAUAAUUAAUUAGUUUUCAUAGUCUGAGAAUAAUUUUUUGAAAAAUGGAAAGUUAAGAAAUAACAUUAUGAAUAAUUGCUAAAUUAAAAUUUUUAGCAAUUAAGAAUUAAAUAAUCAAGAAUAAUUGCUAAAUUAAGAAUGAUUUUUAACAUGAAUAAUCUAAUAAAUAAUCAUGAAUAAUAAUUGCUAAAUUGCUAAAUUGAAAGUUAAGAAAUAAUCAUGUUUUAGAAGAUAAUUUCUAAAUUAAGAUUUUUUUUAAUAUUUUAGAAAUAUUAUGAAUAAUGGUGAUUAGGUCCAAAUAGCUUUCAAAUGUUUUGGUGAUUGCCAGUUUGACAUUACUAGAUUUUUAUAAUUAACGUUUAAUAGCGAAUUUUAAGAUAUAUAUACACACGUUUAUUUGAUACUUCAAAACAAAUAAAAUCUCUUUCCAAAUGAUAAUAAUGUCUCUUAUUUUUUCAAAAAAGAGAUUUGGAAAUUAUUUUCUUAUAAGUUAUAAUAAUAUUUUUAAUUUUAAUUUAAUUUUAAAUAAUAAAAUAGUGUAGUAUAUAGAUUACCUAACUUUUAAAUUGACUAGUUUUGGUUGUAAACUAAGGUCCGAUUAUAUGGACCAUUCAUCGAGGUUUCGGUUUUGAAGUUGACAAAAUAUAGAGACUGAAUCGAGCCUAUACAACAAACACAAGACAUCUCUUGAUUUUAAUACGCAGUCUCUAGCUCUAUUAACCCACAAAACAAACAAAUACAAAACGUCAAUAUUUAUAUAAUUUCUACAUUAUAUUUGUUCUUUUUUUUUUUUGUUAAACAAUUAUUAUAUUUGUUCUUCUAAUGGCUUAAACGUAAGAACGUAUUUUUAAAUUUGUUCAUGCACAUAUUCAUUUUUAUAUAGAUCUUAUAUAAUGUCCAACGUAACUUCACCAUUUUAUAUAGAGUGCGUGUGUUACGCUUUUCAGUGAGUGGUAAAAUUAGGAGCAAAGAACUCAAUACAUCACCAAAGUGGCUGAACCUGCUGGCUCGCCUUUUGACCCAACCCGGCCGCGUGGGUGGGCGUAGACUCAGCAUAUCUCUAGUCGCCGUCUCUUGUCUAUAAGCUCCUGUAAUCAAUAACGGUUACCUCUUCUUCUGGAGCAUCUAGGUCUUGGUAGCUGCACCAUUUUCUCAUAUAUUAGUUUCUUAAUGACACUGCACUCUUGUUGUUCGUAUGAUGAAACUGAAAGCAAUGUGUUAUGAUUUGCUCAGAGCAUGUAGAAAUGAAACAUGUUACCUGCGUAACCGUCUAGGAUCUUGUCUAAAGGCCGGAGACAAAAGAAAAGGGGCAGGUCCACCUCUGCCGCUACCUUCGAAAGUAGGAUUUGGUCCACUUGGGAACAUCUGCAUUGCAAACUCAGGUGGUGCUGGUACAAAUGGUCCAAGUGGCCUGCCCACAAAAUCAAUAUUUAGAUAUCUCAACUCUUUAAUAUGAAGACAGGAACAUGAGAGAGAGAGAGAGAGAGAGAGAGUAGUGUAGUCUUUUCUUAAAAACCUACCCGGCACCAGGAACAGGCAUCAGCAUUGGUGGUGGGUUUAUAUCCGAUGAGAAGGGAGGAACAUGAACACCACCUUGUCCACCAAAUGCAUCGUACCCAACGUCCCCAGGAUUUCCACCAUCAGGACCAUCACCUUCGCCUCUCACUUGAUCCUCCGACCGAUCAUUUCUGUCAUCUCCAUUAGCACGUCCAUCACGCUCUCUGCGUCCACCACGAUCAUCCCUCAAUCUGUUCUCCAUGCUUGGUUUACGUCUCAUAGGUCUAUCCCUCUGUCAAAAGUAUAUAUCACACAUGUAAGUAAAACUCAAAACAAAGCUUAAUACAUGCAAAACCCAAAACUAGUACAGACUAUUUAACAUUCCUUUAAGUGAUAUAAUAAAAAAAUUCUUGUACCGGGCCAGAUUGCUGCAUGGCUGGUUGUCCUCCUGGAGCAUUAGGAUCACUGCAAAUGGCACAUGAUUUUAUCAUUAGGAUCUCACCAUAUAUGACAGUAGAGGAGUCCAAGAGAGAAACCAUACAUACUUCAUAUAGUUCUGAAAAUACAGUUCUUCCCGCACUUUGAUAGUCAGCUCUGUGACAAGCUCAGUGUGUUUCAGCUUGAGAUGCUUGUACACAAAUUCAGCAGCAUGAAACAGCUUCGUGCAGCCCUUCGCUCCACAACCAUAUUUCCAACCAUACUUCUCAUCUCUAAUUUUUCGGACAUGUGGAUCUAAAGCUUCAGUAGCAGCAGCAUCUAUCUUCUCUUUCGCAGCCAUCACUUCCAAGGGAUCUUGACCUUUCAACCUCUCUUGCCAAUGUGAGUCAAAUUUACUUUCAUUCUCAUCUCCUUUUGCAUCAGAACUUUUACCUUCAGCUCUCACAUGCCGCAAACCCUUAGCUUCAGUUGUUUCAACCUUUCCGUAAUAGUCCACACCAUGAACACGCCAGAGAUAUGUGACAAGUGUGUCGAGCAAUUCAACACCCUCGAGCCCUUUCACAGAUGUCAACCCCCUAAUGAUUAUAACUGGACCGGUCGAACCACUGUGUAACUUUUCUCUACCUGAUUUUUCAGUUUCUGAACCUGAUAAAAGGUUUUCCUCAAUUCGUUUCUCAGAGUCUAGCUUACGCACAAGUGCUUGUGCUUGUUCAAUGUCAGUUAGGAUUCUCUUUGGAUCAGAAGUGAAACUGGGGGCUUGUGGUGCCGCUGAAAGAAGUUCAGUCUCUUUACCUUCCCACCUACCAUGUCUUUUUCUUUUGCCACCUCCAGCUGCUUCAUCCUCAGAAUUUGGCUCACUGGCCCUGCUGGAUUUAUCCACUGCUGUCACUGCAGGACCUCUGGAACAGAUCGAGGGAAACUGAACUUUAAGAGAUGACAGAAUGGUGACUUGUGACUAUAGUAAUGGCCAAUGAAGUGAUCUUACAAAUCUAUAGCCCCGCUCUGUAAAUCAAGUAAGAAAUCCUUCGCCACCUUCCGUGCAAGUUCAUUUCUCCUGAAAAUAAGAAAGAAAUAUAAACAGUCAGUGACAUUUUUUUGAAGUACAAGUAAAAGAAAUCAGUAUAUAGUAUCAAUAUAACAGCAAUCAUACUGAGGGAAAUGCUCAUGAACUCACCCUUCUAUGACAGAGAGUAAGUUUGUUGGAUGAUACUUGUUCUUCAACCUGGAUGCAUAAAAUGCAUUAGCAUGUUAAUAAUUAGCUUGCAGAAUAUCCCAAAAUGGUGUAAGAGAUGUAAACAGAUAGUGGACUUCACCAAUCUUCCUCUUUGUGAGCGUUAAAAAAGACGCGUUUUUGUGUUGUAAUAUACUCUGACUUAUAUUCUUGAUAUCUGCAUCAGGACAAAAGUAAUUACCCCAGCAGCUCUAGACGACAACUGAUUAAGCACCAAGACUAAGUUGCAGUUAUAACGAUACCUCCGUUCUGCUUCUGAUGGCAAGAUAUCAUCUUCCAACUCCUGGAUAAAUUGUUUGUAUGACAUCAAUCCAUCCCUGGAUUAAGGAAUUACAACAGUAAUUAUUAUUAAAUGCAACAGAAGGGAUUCUACAACCAGCACUAGUUGUGUGCCACAUUCUUAAACGUAAAAGAGAUAAAAGUUUUACACUUGCACCAAAUAUUGGCAUUAUCUUGUACUCAACAGGAAUAACAGAAUAGAGACGAUGACUUUAACAUCACAUGUUUCAGAAAUGAUUUUCUAGUAGUGAUCAAUAGUGUCUCUCAAACCUUAACUCAAGCUUUCAUGAGCUACAAGGAAGAACGCAUGUAAGAACAGGAGAUAGACAUUUCAUAACUCCUCGUAUACAUUUUCUAGACUAAAUAUCCACUGCCAAAAGUAAGCACACCAUUGGACAAAGAGAACAAACCUAUGACAACAGAGGAAAAAUGAGCAAAUAUUUAGGGACCUUAACCUUUGAGUAUUUCCACUGUUGGGAGCAUCACCAUAACCUCCACGUCCUCCCUCCCAGUCUGCCAAAAGUAAUACACACUAAAAGGUCGAUACUGAUAUCUCUCUUCUAAAAUAGAUAGCCAGUUGACCAAUAGAAUUGUGAAUUACUACUCAAACUGUCUCCAAUACACAGCAUAUAGAGAAAAAAAUACAAAGUUAUGACUAUGAAUCAUACUAAUCAGAUGAACCAAAAGUCCCAAUUAUUAGGAACACCCAAUGAUAGUCCUCUUAAACAUGUCUCACAAGUGCAAACGUGUAAUACAGGUUCCCUCAACUUAAAAAUAUAUUAGAAAGAGAUCUCUCACCCUGAAAGCGACCCAUGGAGCGCCCAUGAGGCCUUUCAUCGCCAUAAUUAGGCCUCCCACCCAUUUCACGGUCAUAUCCUCCACCAUAGUCAUAUCCAAAUCUAACAUGCAAAUGAAGAAUUGAGUAAACAUUAGGAUAUAACAAUCACUGAUACAAUAGAACUAUAAGUGAUGCACAUUUCUAUACUCAGCUAAGCAACAAUGCAACUUAUAUCCUUGUAGCAUAACACAGUUCCCAUAUGACUUUGAAUUUGAUAUAAUUCAGAUUGAAGUAUGAGCAAUGUAGUACAGCAAAGAAGAUCCGAAAAUUUCACUGAGCAGAGGAAAUAAAGAUUACCUUCUAUCCGGAGGCCCAUAGCCACCACGGUUACCACCACGGCGAGAAUCAAAGCCAUUAUCGUCCCUCCGAUAACGUUUAUGAGGAGGCGAACGACGCUGGGGAGGAGGAGAGUAGCGUCUAUCUCUAUACGGUGGCGGAGGACUCAAACUAGGACGUCUCUUGUCAUCCCUACGAGGCGGUGGGAGAGGCGAACGGUCACGGUCACGGCGUUCGAGGUCUCUGUCGUCACGUCGCUCACGUGAAUCUCUCUCACGGCGUUGCGGAGGCUGUUCCUGUUCCUGUUCUUGCUCCGGCUGCGGAAGAGAAGAAGAAGGCGGUGGAGGAGGUGGUGAAGAAGAGAUCGAUUUCUCAGGGAGGCUGUUAUCGACGGAAUCAGACGGAGGAAGAGUCACAUCGGCCAUUUGGAGAAGAUGAUCGGAACCCUAUUUCGGGAAAUCGACGGUUUAUUCAAAACUAUAACAGUCCAAAGCCUUUUCUGCUACGCCCCUUACUAGUGUGAAAUCCAAGCUGGCCUUAGAGGCCCAUCUCAGUCUGCCACUAAUCAAAAAAAAAAAUUGUAAACAAAAUUUUGAAAAUUGAAAGUGCCCCUAAUUAUUUAUUUUUACUAGAUUUUAACAUGCGGUAUACCGUGGGACUAUUUUUUCAAAACUAAAAUAUUUAUAACUUGAAAUUUUUUUUUAUAUUAUUUAGGGUUCAAUAUUGUAUAAUUGUAUUUCGAUUAUUGUAAUUUUAGGAUUUUACUCGCAAUAUACUGUGAUGAUUAUUAUUUAACCAAUUUCAUCGAUUGUGUUAACAAAAUAAUAAAAUGAUGAAAUACUUUUGUAGCACUAAUACUAAUACUAAUACUAAUCCAAACCCGUGUAGGUAUGUGUGAUAUUUUUUUUUUGUCAUCAUUACAAAUUAUAUGUCUCUCUUUGAGAAGGCCCGGACUCGAACCCGGAUCUGGUGAGAAGGCAACAGAGGUGAGAACCACUAGCCCACUUGUCCUUGUCAAAGUAUUUUUUUGUUUCUUAUUAAUAAAUGUUCAUAAUAUUCUAAAGUUGUUAAAACUCGAAUUAAACCAUAUACCAACUUUAUUUUCAGUCACCAAUUAAAUCAUUAAUUUU
rnacentral:lncRNA from 1 species